rnacentral:lncRNA from 1 species
GAAUUGAUUUUGCUUCACACUAUCUUGAUUAAGAUAGUGUAAAGCUUUUGAGAAUUUGUAGUUGUCCUCCAUUGAUGAAGCUUUGUUGAAUUUCCACACUGUUGAGCAAGAGAUUGUGAUGCAAGCCACACCUUGUAUUAGUCGAAGGUUUGGAUGAACCAUAUAAAUUGAAUUUGCUUCGAAGGUCUAAGAAUUGUAGUUGCCCUCCAUUGAUGAAGCUUUUGUUGGCACCAUAAAUUGGUUUUGCUUCACACUGUCAUGAUCAAGAGUGUGUGAAGCUUUUGAGAAUUGUGGUUGAACUCCUUUGGUGAAGCUUUUUUUGGCACCAUAAAUUAGUUUUGCUUCACACUGUCUUGAUCAAGAGUGUGUGAAGCUUUUGAGAAUUGUGGUUGCCCUUCAUUGAUGGAGCUCUUGUUGGCACCAUAAAUUGGUUUUGUUUCACACUGUCUUGAUCAAGAGUGUGUGAAGCUUUUGAGAAUUGUGGUUGAACUCCUUUGAUGAAGCUCUUGUUGGCACCAUAAAUUGGUUUUGCUUCACACUGUCUUGAUCAAGAGUGUGUGAAGUUUUUGAAAAUUGUGGUUACCCUCCAUUGAUGAAGCUCUUGCUGUUGGCACCAUAAAUUGGUUUUGCUUCACACUGUCUUGAUCAAGAGUGUGUGAAGCUUUUGAGAAUUGUGGUUGCCCUCUAUUGAUGAAGCUUUUGUUGUCACCAUAAAUUGGUUUUGCUUCACACUGUCUUGAUCAAGAGUGUGUGAAGUUUUUAAGACUUGUGGUUGAACUCCUUUGAUGAAGCUCUUGUUGGCACCAUAAAUUAGUUUUGCUUCACACUAUCUUGAUCAAGAGUGUGUGAAGCUUUUGAGAAUUGUGGUUGCCCUCUAUUGAUGAAACUCUUGUUGGCACCACAAAAGCUUGACCCACGAGGCUUAUGUAUUGAUGAAGCUCUUGAUGCAUAAAAUCAGUGAGGACUUUGGUACAACAUAAAGUGUUAAGUUUGUGACAUUCGCUAGAUUGCUCCGGUCACUAGUAUGGAUAAGUAUGUAAAUGGAUAGAGAUAGGGAAGCAAACACAAGAUGUACGUGGUUCACCCAAAUUGGCUACGUCCACGGAGUAGAGGAGUUCUCAUUAAUUGGGAAGGGUUUACACAAGUACAUAGGUUCAAGCUCUCCUUUAAUGAGUACUAGUGAAUGAUUUAGUACAAAUGACAUUAGGGAAUAUUGUGAGAGAAUGAUCUCUAUUUAUAGAAGAUAGUUUCUAAUUUCAUUCUGAUAUUGACACGUGUCGUGUUGUGAUUGGCUUCUGAUGUUGACACAUGUCGCGCUAUGAUUGGCUUCUGAUGUCGACAUGUGUCGCGCUGUGAUUGGCCUCCUGGUUGGAGAGAAACUCUUCUGGGUCCUUGAUGGUAUAACGUUGACCGGUACUCAGUAGUUUCGGGAUUGGUCAAGUAUGGUACAAAUAAAAACAAUACCAAACGAAGCAUAAAACCUAUUAACAAGAAGUUGAGGAAUCUAAUUUCCUCAUGUCUUAAUUAGCAUCUUAACACUAAUUAGCUCGCAAAGAUUUGACUAAUAUACAUAACAAUAAUCAAUCUAACCGAUGAAGAAGCCAUGAAGCCACUCUUCAAUGUUGACCUUCUCCUCCACGUCAAAUUCUCAAUGUUAACAAUAGGUCUUAGUUCAAUUGCGAGAAUAUUCAUGGCUGAAGCGACCGGCAUACUCUCGUAGUGACUCGUCCGGCUUCUGGCAAAUAGUGUACAAGUAAUCUGCAGAAUGCAAGUGAUCGAUCUGGAAGAUGUGUUGAGAGACAAACAGUUUCCUUAAUUCCUCAAAUGAGUCUACUGUCUCAGGUGGAAUACGGCAAUACCAGUUUAGAGCUCCGCCAGAAAUAGUGGAGGGGAAGAGAAGACAUCGCUCUUCGUCGGUGUGCAUUCGAUAUGCCAUGGUGGACUCAAAGAGGUUAAAGUGUUCAAUUAGGUCCUCCCUUCCUGUAUAGAGUUGUAAACCAAGCUUUUGUUUUGUCUUCGCUUGAAGGGGCGUGUCGAUGAUCCUUCUUAUGAGAAGGCCAAGCCUGGGUUGGUUCCAGUCAGGUAUCUCGGCCUAACGUUUGGCAUUCAACUUGUUUACUUCCUCAAGGAGCUGUAGGGCAAUGGGGUCCUGAGUGGAGUCAUGUGUCACUGGAAUUUUCUUUCGUAAGUCUUCAUCGCCUCUUGGAAGUAGGAAAGUUUAAGCAAUGACGUGUGGUUUUUUCAUGGACUCGCUGUACUGACUUUUAGGGCAAGUAUGUCGGAAUACCUCAGAGUCCCCCAUACCUUCAUGUUCCUCUGGGACCAGUCAUUCCUUCCCUAGAUUGGCAGUUGGCCUGGGUCGUGGGAGGGGAUCGAGUCUUUCAGAAACCCUUGGGUCAUUGAUUUUCGAGCAUAUGUGGAGGGGAUUUUUUCGACGUUGCUUUAGGAAGUCUCGGCAGUCACGAUAAAUGGUUUUCGAUCCUUCCAACCUUUCUGCAAGGAGGUGUCUUCCUCCACUUUUUCUACUUCGGGUCGAAGCAUCUGGGUUGAAAGAAGUCUCAUGUUGAUCAAUGUUUUGAUGAUUAGCUCGCUCCUCAUCAGGGAUACCCAUGUCGAAUGGAGGUGACCCUCCGUGUUGGGGGGCACCCAGAUGAUAGUUGAUGUCCAUAGGGGUAACGAGCUUCCGUGUUUGAGUACGCUUAGUUUCGUGGAGUGUCUUAAAGAGCUUCUCAUACUGCUCCUGGAGGACCUCAUUCUUCAUUUCUAUCUUGUUGUUCUAAGCUUUUAGCUCAUCGACUUUAGCUUGAAAAGCAACCAUCUUUCCUUCAUUCUUUCGUUUCUUCGCACUAGGUGCAAGAGGGGUGUCAUUCUAUGUGCUGUGGCUUCCUUCGCUCCCCAUGUUGGAAAGGGAUGCCUGGUCAAAAUAGAGUGUACGAAUGGUGGAAACCAGCUUGGCAAAGCUGAAGAGAGUGGGAAUAAGUGUCGUUCCCACAGACAGCGCCAAAUGUUGAUACACAAAAUCAGCGAGGACUUUGGUACAACAAAAAGUGUUAAGUUUGUGACAUUCGCUAGAUUGCUCCGAUCAUUAGUGUGGAUAAGUAAGUAAAUGGAUAGGGACAGGGAAGCAAACACAAGAUGUACGUGGUUCACCCAGAUUGGCUACGUCCACGGAGUAGAGGAGUUCUCAUUAAUUGUGAAAGGUUUACACAAGUACAUAGGUUCAAGCUCUCCUUUAGUGAGUACUAGUGAAUGAUUUGGUACAAAUGACAUUAGGAAAUAUUGUGAGAGAAUGAUCUCUAUUUAUAGAAGAGAGUUUCUAGUUUCAUUCUGACUUUGACACGUGUCGUGUUGUGAUUGGCUUCUGAUGUUGACACGUAUCGCGCUAUGAUUGGCUUCUGAUGUCGACACGUGUCGCACUGUGAUUGGCCUCCUGGUUGGAGGAAAACUCUUCUGGGUCAUUGACGGUAUAAUGUUGACUGGUGCUCAGUAGUUUCGGGAUUGGUCAAGUAUGGUACAAACACAAAAUGUAUUGAUGCUAGGUGAAUAAGUCGCAACACAAAAUGAAAACGGACCAAUGCCAAAUUAAAAUGUAUCGACCAAAUUUAUUUAUUGGUACUAGAUAAAGUACGGACCCAAUUUAUUUACCCAUUCUAUACAUGCCACUUCAAGUAAUGCUUAGAAAGUACAUGCCUACUAACACACAAUUAACUUUAUAAAUUAAAUAUGAAAAUAAAUGUACCAAUCAACAAUAUUAAUAAAAUCGCUUUGAAAAAAAUGUAUAAAGUUAAAUUGAAUAUAGAAAUAAACGUACCAAUCAACAAUAUGAGUAAAAUUGCUUUAAAAAAAUAAUAUAUAUAUAUAUAUAUAUAAUCAAACGAUUGUGGUGGCACUAGUGGCGGUUGUGGUGGCAGUUGUGACGAUUGUGGUGGCGGUGCAGUGGUGGUGGUGGUGGCAGUGGCGGUGAUGUAAGGUUAGUGUUUAUAGUGGUAAGUGGUGGCAAUCAUUUUAUUCUCCAAGGAUUAAAUGUGUGUAGAAGGAUAAAAUAUGUUAUUUUAAAAAACUAAUGAAGGUAUUACAAGAAUUGAAAAUUUUCAUUAAAUGCUCAAUUCCUUUUAAAAACAACCUAUAUGCUUCUUUUAAAAAUUGUUGUAUGGAGACUAUUGUUUUUAAAAUAAACAGAAUAUUUUAUUUUUACCAAACACUUUUUACUGCUUAACUAUAAAUGAAACAAAUUUCGAUAAAAAAAAAACAACACCAAACGAAGCAUAAAACCUAUUAACAAGAAGUGGAGGAGUCUAAUUUCCUCAUGUCUUAAUUAGCAUCUUAACACUAAUUAGCUCGCAAAUAUUUGACUAAUAUACAUAACAAUAAUCAAUCUAACCGAUAAAGAAGCCAUGAAGCCACUCUUCAAUGUUGACCUUCUCAUCCACGUCAAAUUCUCGAUGUUAACAAUAGGCCUUAGUUCAACAAUGAGCAUAUAUUAUUCCGUUAUACUUUCAAAACCAAUAUGAACUCAAACAUUCGGCUAAAAUACACCUCAUAUUCGAACAAUAUAUUUUGUUAAUUGUGAAAGGUGAUUUGGAAGAUAAUUGUGAUACUUGAUGCCAUGCGCGCUCUCGAUUUCUAACUACUCAUGCCGCCAUUGUCAUUGGGUAUGACCGGUGACAACUUGGUGGAAACGUAGCAAUUCGACACGAUUAUUCUCCAAACAUAUGAUUGUUGAGAGCCUGAAUCCUAUGUAAGGGUGGGCAACGGUUAUGCCAGACGGGUAACCGCGGUUAUUUACUUAUAACUGUUUAUGCUCAUACUCGCAUAACCGUUUACCCAUUUGGUAAUUGCCUAAAUUGUUAUACUCAUACCUAUAACCGUUUAUAAACGGUUAACCAUACCAAUAAUCGCAUACCCAUUUAACCGUAACCGUUUAAUACCCGUUUACUCAUUUUUAACUUGUUUAUCUUUUUCCCAUUUUUAACUUGUUUAUCUUUUUUUUUUACCAUUACCCAUUUUUCACCCAUCUACAUGUUUUUUAACAAAUUGAAAUUUUAAAAAAAAUUUGUCAUAAUUUUUUUUGACAAUUAAACACCGUUAUAGGGGUACAUUCAUUAUACAUUUCCUUAUUUUAAUUUUUUAAGUCCUUAUACCGUUUCAAUAAUUGAAAUAAUAGUUUACAGACGAUAUUUUUAAGGGGUGUGAUAUCCACACACCCCAUUUUACUUCUCACACACCUUUUUAAUUUUCGACCGUCGGAUCAGAUGAAUUGAAGAAGAUCAACGGACAAUAAUUAUUAAAGGUGUGUGAGAAGUAAAAUAUGGUGUGUGGAUAGCACACCCCUAUUUUUAACUGUUACCAAUGAAGGUAAUAUAAUAUUUGCUAAGUAUUCUUGGGUUAUGAAAACUGUUUAGAAGACAGUAUUUUUGAGUUAUUUAACCCAUAGUGCAAAGUAUUAACAUAAUAUAUAUAAUGAGCUACAUUAUUUUAUAAUUAGCUAUAUAAACCAUGCACUAUAGUCAAUAGCAUCAGAGGUGCAAUUUGGGCUGAGCCAACCCGAACCCGCCCAUGUCUAACCUGACUUUAAACUCGAAUAAGCGAAUUUUGUUGUUGUUAUAACCCGCCUGAACCCAACCCGAUUUCAACCCGUUCAUUGAUUGGGUUGGAUUGGGUUGAUCAUUUGUCCAUCCCAACCCAAUCCAAUUAACCAAACCCUAUUAGGUUGAGCUGUGCAACAUACUUCUCAAUAACCUUUGCACCUUUGCACCUUUGCACCUUUGCACCUUUGCACUUUCAUGAGAACCUACUGAUAUGAUAUACAAUUUGACUUGAAAGGAAUCAUAUUAAGUUUAUUUUGCUUUUCACAUCACAUCCUGUAGAACAACUUCCUUUAUUAAAUUAAUAUUGCAACUAUUCGACCUCUCUUUGAGAUCUGCUUCACAGUUUGAGUUGUGAUUGUUUCUUAUGCUGAUUCAGACGAAGUAGGCUAUUGAGCAAGUAAAUUUGAGGGAAAGUGAUUUUAAGGUCAGUUGUUUGCUAAUACAAAUAGGUUGACAUCAUUGUUGAAAAACAUUAAACACUACUUGAAAAAGUUAGGCAACCCAAACUCAACCCAAGUAAAUCCAAACCCGAUUAAACCCGAGCCCGACUAAACCCGAUUAAAACCCAAUCCGAACCCGAACCCGAAUUGUAAAAGUUGGGUUAGGAUUUGGUUGAUUUUCCAACUCGCCCGAGUUGCACCCCUAAAUAGCAUUGAUCUAAGUUUUGUCCUAUAGAGAACAUGGUUUGUGUUAAUUUUACAUAUAUAAAAUAAAUGGGUAAACGGUUACCUGUUUAUAACCGUUAUUUAUACCUAUAACCGUUUAUUUAUCUAAAUAGUUACCUAUAACCAUAACCGUAAAGUUUAAAUAAGUGGGUAACUGCGAUUACAAGGUAUUUUACCCAUAUUCCCAUGUCAGAAAGUAAAGCAUUGCCGUAUAAUUUAAAUUAUCUUAGAUCAGUUGAUUUUAGACCGAAUGUUCACAUUCUAAAAUUUCUAAUAACGUCUGCGUUGGUUGUGAUAUGAGUUCUGCACCUCCGAUAUUGUAAAGCAUUAAAUAAAGGCCCAAUUACAAAUUCAUAAUUUUGGCCCAUGGUUUUUGGGCCCAGAGUAAGGUUGCGUAAUUUCCAGGGUCAAGUUUUAAAUUUGAUGCUUAAAUAGCAAGCCCAACCUUUUGCAAUCUCUUACAUGGGCAUUUUCCAGUCUUUACUUUUCAUUUUCAUUUUUACUUUGGAAUUCUAAUCCUGUAUAACAGUACAUGUGGAAAAUCUAUAUCUUUUUUUCUUUUUCUGCAUAUUCCUGUUUAGUUUUGUUAUUUGAUUUUCUAAUACUUUAUUUCAUUCAAAGGUUAGAAAUGAGCAAGAUUUGUGUGUGGGAGAAAAAAGUGUGUGCGACAAUCAUUUCUCAUUUCAUUUUUUAUCGAGGAGAUAAGAGAUUCAAACUUAAAAUCUCUUCUAACAUUGAGAAGUAUCACUAUUGUACUAACGACUAGUUGGUAAUCUUGCACAUGUGUUCAAAACCAAAAAAUUUCUAUUUUGUAUAAUGAGAUGCAAAAUUUAGAUUGCAACGAAGUUCUUCUUUUUAUGCAUGUGAGAGUGAAAUUGCAAUAAAUCGAACAACUUCAAUUACAUAUAUAAGAGUUUCUUUUCUUGUUUGUUAGAAAAUUUUGUGCAGAACGGUUUCAUAUUACAUAUGUAUCUUUUUACUUUUUAUCACGUAUCUUGUCAGGUGACUUCGCAAUGAGAGAUAGAAACACGUCAAGAUACAACGAUUGUUCCAAGAAAGUUUUCUAGUGGUAUGAGAAAGUUAACGAAAAGGGUUGGGACUUGGGAGGCGUUACGUCGUUAUCUGUAACGGUCUUAACAUGGAGCCAAGAUGGGAUGGUAGGGUUUUCGUGUGCAUGAAGGAUGCAGAUGACCUGAUCUGCCUUUCCCUUUGUGCUUGUGACCUCCUGCAAUUUCCAUAUCGACAAAACUUUUGCCCCUUGAUGGAAAUAUCCAACUUUGUGGGGGCCACCAGUCCAAUCCAUGCAUGGAUCCGGCCCGUUCAAUUUUCAUCGCCAGAAUUCAGUUGAUCACCUUGAUAUCAUGACCUAAUUCAAUCAUCAUUUGGAAGACUUUUUUGUCAAAUAAAACGAAAUAAUUGAUUAAUAUGAUUACAAGAUUAAUUCUUCAUUUUCAACAAUAUUGUAGGAUUUAUUUACUAGAGUGAUAGAAGAUUUGAACUUGAAUCCAGACCGCUUUAAAAACUCGUAAAAAAAUAGUAUCAAUGACCAUUUCCUCCUGUUUUGGAGGCAAAUUUGGUCCACUGUUUUUGUGCAUGAAUAAUGGUUGCCUUUAGUAUUAUUUGCUACUUUUUCUUCAGUAAAACAAUAAUACUGUCACUUUCUAUGAUGCCCAUUUCACACUAGCAUGCCCUGGAAGAACUAAAUAUCUUUUGUCAACAAAAAUCUUCCAUAGGUUGUUCCAAUCCAAGCUAGCCUUGGGUUGUCAUGAUGAUUUUGGUUUUAAUACAAAGUAAAUGGUAUAUAUCAACCGACCAACUGUAUAAGUUACUGUCAGUCGUUAAUAUAUGAACGUUGGUUCAUAUAAAUCUCAUAGGUUCCAUUUGGUGUACGAAAUGAAAGGUUGUGAGUAACAGUUAUAUCCUUAAAGAAAAUAUUGACAAAUUAUGUAAUGUACCCAUCCUGCAGUCCUCAUGUUGGCCAUAACCCUACCCAUGUGCAAAUACAAGUGAACAUAUAUCUCUUUUAAUGUAAUCAAAAUUAAAUUGAAACUUAAAACUUAAAUAAGAUUAGGGUUUUGAAUAUUCUAACGUGCAUGGGUUUGGUGACAUAGCAGGUUUAUUCGGUCCCUCGUACACUAGCAAAAGAGCUUGAAAUUAAUUAAUAUAAUUUUAAUUAAAUUAAAUAAUAAUGAUUAAGCUGAGUAAGAAGGAAGAAAGAUCUCCUAAUUAAUCAUCUCCCAAUUGGAUGCAUGACAGUAGCAUUUGGCCCACGUUCCGGAGUAGGCUCCAUCCUCCAUAACAUGCACAUGAGCUGCCAACCAUUUGGUCUCUCUGGGACCGCAUCAUAUUCAUCUGCAGUUAUUUGGAUUCUCAUACGAUCGACACAGAGAGAGAGAGAGAGAGAGAGAGAGAGAGAGAGAGAGAGAGAGGUUUGCAUUGUGAUGAGUGUGAACCCAUGAGACGUUGCAUAGUAUUAUCUUCUGCUACUAUCCCUCCCCAUUGGUUCUGCAAACCCAACACCAACCAAGAUAAGCGUUAGGCUAGUCGGUCGCCUUACCGCUUCUGGUGACGGUAUACUGUUGAUGUAUGUAUAAAUAAUGAACGACUGAGUUUAGUAUUCAUCUAUCUCUUUUGAAAUACCAAACGUACAAUAUGUGACAUUUGUGUAACAAAAGCCGUCUCCUUAUUCUUAUACUUCCAACACCUAGAGUAGUACGUAGCAGUGGUAGUCUUAUCGCACUUACUGACCUUUUUGUUUCAAUUGAUUCUCUCGAUUGAUAAGUGGCCGGUGUUUGGUCCUAAAUAGAAAUUAGGUUAAAUUAUAAACAUAAUCUUUUUCACAAAUGUAUGUUUUACAAUAAGGUAGAAUAAUUAUGUUGACAAAAUUGAAGGUUUCAAUGUACGAUAGAUUAAUUGGAAUGUAGAUGAUUCUCAGUUGUUGAGGCAUUCACUUUAUUUGGUGCGGAUGUAUAAUUGAUGGACAGUCGUUCAUGCACGUGUGUUUGUAUGAAGAUAUGUAAAGCAACCCUCUAGAUAUGAAUAGACAUAAGGUCUUUGUAAGUUGGGCUACUACUAUAUAGCGAAUUAAUUUUAUGUUGAAACCUCAGCUUUAUUCAUGAUAUCAAAGUAGGGUGUUUCAUGUGUGAAGCCCAACGGCUACACGUGCUUCACAUCACUCAUUUUAUUUUGUCCAUGUGCUAAGCUUAAAAAUUCGUCACGUGAUGAGACGUGUUGGAGUAUUAAUCCUACAUCGAAAAGAAGGAAACUUGCAUUGACAAAUAAGAUACGCUAAUACCCAUAUUAUCAAUUAAUUUUAUAAAUUUUAUAGUAAAACCCAAACAUUUUUCAUAAUUUUCUUUGGAGUUAACUAAAGCCAGAAGUUUGUGGUGUUGUUAACUCACUACCUAGGAGUGGACAUUUUAACCGGUAAAUCGGGUCGAGAAAACCAAAAGAAUCGGGUUUGACAUUGUCACAUUCUUGUUGCAUUUUUUCCCAAAUACCGAAUGUAAUGUGCCAUUCUUGUUACGGACAAGGAUUGUCUGCCCUCCUAGUUGUGGUGCCCUUCUAUGCCCUCCUAUUUUGUGCGGUCACGGUUAAGCCACGUCAACAUUUUAUAUUAAUUUUUUAAUGAGAUAAUAAGACAAAAAACAAUAAAAAUAUAAAAUAUUAACGUGGCUUAACCGUGACCGCACAAAAUAGGAGGGCAUGGAAGGGCACCACAACUAGGAGGGCACCUUGUCCUUCUUGUUACAAAAGCCUCUUUAUUCUUAUCCAAUAGAAGUAGUACGUAGUCUUAUCUCACCUAAUGGUCUUUUCUGUCAAUUGAUUCUCUCAGUUUAUAUAUAAGCUUUGUUUGUUUCAAAAUACAAAUUAGCUAAAUCAUAAACGUAAUGUGUUUCUGUUUGGAUCUUACUGUACACCAUUGAUCUGUUUAAUUGAGGCUGUUGAAUUUUAAUAUUUUUCUUAAAUAUUACUAUUGCUGAUUCGAAUUCAAUAGAGAAAACCAGGCAUUAUCCAUUGCUGGUUGUUUGUUGGAGAUCCAUUUGUUGAUAAAGACUUACUCAAGUGAUGGCAAGGAUUUUCCAACUUGGCUUGAGUAAAGAAAAGAUAAAAGAAGGUACCAUCCAUUUGUGAUAUUAUCCCUUUGGCCAAUUUGAUAAUUUAUUCUUUUUGGCCAAUUUGAUAGUAUUUCCUAAUAGAAUGCUCAGUGUUCAUUAAGAUAAAGAUGGCCAUCAAAAGGCCUUUGGUAGCCACGGUAUGGACUUUACAACACGUUCAAGCGUAUUAGUCCUAUAAAUACAUAAAACCGUGUAAUGAGAAGGCAACCUUCAACUUAACAUACAAAUAUGCCUUGCACAAAUCUCGCUCUAGGCGAACACUUCUCACACUCAGAGAACUAACUAACUCACAUUUUGAGAAAUCACUAACUCUCCACUUUCCUAACUACUUAAAGCUCGAUUGAUUAUCUAUCCAAGUCUCAGCUGACGAGGAGUCCUUGAUUCUUUAAUUGAACGAGGUCACUUUACUAGCUUUCCAACCAAAUUAAGUGUUUUAUGCUUGGUUACUUCUGGUACAUUUUAGAGUUCGGUAUUCUGACGGUUGAACAACAUUUACCAUCAAGACAUUUAUCUCUUUCGAGUACGAGUAUCCUUACAGUUUAACUCCGAACUGAUCAGAGCACUUAUAUUUUCACAAAUAUAGUCGAGGCGGCCGAACCUGGUGCAAAAGAUCAUGAACUUCACAGUGACUAACAACCUUUUUGACAUCACCACCACAUUCAUUCUACUAACCGACCGAGUUCGAUGGCAAGUUAGCACGACCGCAUUCAUCAUAAUGACGUAGUUAGCUUUUUGUUAUUCAGUCUACGUGUAAGUAAACUUGAUAGUUUUUAAGGUCAACAAUUUCACAAAUUGUGCUUUACAUUCUAACAAGUUUUACGAUCUCAACUUAUACUAGACGAAGGCGGACGAUCGAUUGUUAGUUGUUGCUGCGAGUUUCAUUGUGAUUGCGGAUGUAUAAUUGACAUACAAUCGUAACGUGUGUUUGUGGGCAAAGCAACUCUCUAGACAUCAAAAGAUAAGGUCUUUAGUUUUAUUCAGAAUUUGAGGUGUCUAUAUAAGUCACAAAAACCAAGAAACCUCUCGAACUCGUACCUUGGAUGCAGUGGAUGGGUUCCUAUCACAUGGUUGUCGCCAAAGGCAACAGAAGAGUACUCGCUAUAAUACUAAAUUAACAUGGUCCACUAGACGGUGGCUUUCCACCCUUUUUGUCGAUCGUGAGAGUAUGAUUUGGCCAAAUGCACUGUUAUUCUCCCAAAGUCGAGGUCAAUUUAGUAAACUAAUAUAUAGAAGUUUUUAAAAGUCACUAGUCUAGUAGCGGGUAGAGGCCUGUCGCUUAGGGGGGCCUAGGUAAUUUUUUAUUUUUAAUUAAUUUUUUAUAUAAUAUAUAGAUAAAUAUCUACUUAUAUUUUUUUUAAAAUAUAACUGUAUUGAGAUACAUUAAUUAGAAAAUGGAACUAUAUAUAAAUUAUAAAGUAUUAGAAUUGAAAACAUGGGGAAUAAACAUAUAAUGAGUGUUCAUCUCAAUAUUUAACAAGUUUUUUACAAUUUAUUGAAAAAAUAAAAUGUAAAAUGAAAGUUAUCUAUUUUCUAUCUAAAUGAGAGUUACGAUCUAGACGAGCGCCUACGCAGAUCUAGACGCUCUUUCUUAGUUUUCAAACGUCUAGUGAUCAAUCAAAGCGAUGACUACCUGCUUAGCGCCUAGGCAGGCUUAAGCGAAGCUAGGCGGUAAUUUUUAAAAGAAUGUGAUAUAUAGUUAGUAAUGAUAGCUACAAGGAAGAAAGAAACAACCCCACUGUACGAAACCAAAAACACUAAGCUACGAUGUGUUCUUAUCAUCUUAAGUUGUCCUACGAAUAAGUUAUGAAACCUAAUAUUAUGUUGUUGACCUAACCAAGUAGCUAGUAGCUAGUAUCGUUCACAUCAUCACUCCUAAAGUAACUUGAGGUAAAUUAGUUGCAAGAUAGCUAGAAUACAGAUCCGUCAAGGGACAUUUUUGUAAGACACAUUUUUAUUGAAAGCGCUACAAAUUUUUAUCGAAAAUUCAAGUACAUCUUGUUGGAGCAUAACGUGGUAUUGUUUGCAUACAUCAUGUAAAACUUUUACAUGUUAGGAUUUAACAAAGCAAGUAUUUUACGUUUUCAUCUCUCACACUUCAUUGUGAUCGAAACUCAAAAGAAAGAUGAUAAUAAGGUCAACUAGUACCCUAAUGAAUAUGAUUUUUAAUUUUCCGUGUAUUGCAUUACGGUUAAAAUGCAAGAUUUUUCCAAUAUUAAACUAUCAUAAGUAGUGUGUGAUGUCAGAGAUAUUACGAGACGAAGAACUUGCUGGUUCUAGUAUGAAAAUUGUUUUUGAAAUUUUGAUUUAAAAUGAUUCAGUCUUCAUAGGUGUCGGCGGGUUGGAUUGGUUUUUAGCUUAAAAGACCAUUUCUGUCCAUUAAUGUUGGUAGUCAGUUGAAUCAAUUAUUUUUUCUACGUGUUUAAUCUUAAACAAAAUUAAAAAAACGGUUUGUUUGGGGAAGGCUGUUAUUUAUUUUUAUUAAUUUUGAAAAAGUCGCGGUAAAAUCCCGGACAACUGUCAGCAGCUGGAGUCACUGUCAGUCGCGCUUGCACGCCGCCGUAGCUUAUUAAACUCCGGUCACUCACUUCCGCUCGUCUUCCGCCGGAAACGCCCUUUUUUUUUUGCUCGAUCAAUAAAAAUUAAAGUUAAAAAAAAAAGAAAAGAAGAAGAACGUUUCUGAAUUACCAAUCAGCUCUUCAACUUCCAUUGGCCACAGCAGUACAGAGCACUGUGUCUCUCUACUUUCUCUCUCUACACACUCUCUCGUAUACUUUCUCUCUCUAUACAGAGAGAAACACAGCACGAGAGCUCUCUGUUGGUAUUUUUUACGGACGUACACGCGGUUGUGUAGGCGUAGAUUCCUUUGCCCCCACUGCGUCAUAUAAUUUUAUCAAUAAAUAAAUGCCAAAAAGCUCUCUCUCUCCCCGCUGAAACCGCAUUUAUACACAGAGAGAGGGCCUAUUCCUAACGUUUUCCUCAUUUUUAUGUGCUGCUUUGGUUUGCCUAUAUUCACUCCUCCUCCGGGGAUCUCAGCCGUCCUCCGCCGCUCUUGCGAGAAUUCACCGGCUCAGCUGUCACCGGCAAGUUUCUCUCUUUGCUUUGGUAUUUAUUUCUGCUGAAAUUUUAAGCUGUUUUUUGUUUGUAAAGUUGGAAACUUUGCUGUGAUGGAAUUGAUGGGUUUUGAGUAUGUUGAUUUUGUGCGGAUUUUGAGGGCAUAAGUGGGUAAUUUGUGGAUUUUGGGCAGAUGGGCAGAUGGGCAGCUGUUGUUUUAGCCCAGUGCAUACGUGGUCUACAGUGUACUGCUUUUGGAUUUCUGGGGAACCUAUAGAGAAUAAUUGCCAGAAAGAUAUGGUCUUGUAGUGUAAACUUAUUGAUUUCUGGGUGAAAUCGAAGGUUUCAUAUCUGGGUUUGUUUUAAUUCGUUGAAUUGGGGAUUUAUAUCUCGUGGAAUUGGACUAUUGGCGUUAUAAAAUUCUGGAGUUUUUGUGGAAUUUGGAUUUAUGGAGGCUUUUGGAGGCAGAGCUCGGAAUUUCUAUGGUACGAUGGUGCCGGAUUUGAAGGGGGCUGGGAAAAAGAGUUUGGAAUGGGAUUUGAAUGAUUGGAAAUGGGAUGGUGAUCUUUUUACCGCUAGUCCUUUGAAUGCUGUACCAUCUGAUUGUAGGAGCAGGCAGUUGUUUCCGCUUGGGCUGCCGGAAACUCCCUCCACUGCUGGUUUGUCCAACAGUUCUUCUUCUGGUUCGGACGGUAUCUGUCCAGGGAAUGAGAAAGGUAAAAGAGAGCUGGAGAAAAGAAGAAGGGCUAGUUUUGUAGAAAAUGAAGGGCUAACUGAUGAAGUUGGGUCUCUUAAUCUCAAGCUUGGCGGGCAAGCUUACCCAAUCAUGGAAGGAGAGGUACAACAUGGGAAGAAGACGAAGAUAGUUGGGACUACUUUAAACCGAGCAGUUUGUCAGGUGGAGGACUGUAAGGCUGAUCUUAGCAAUGCCAAGGAUUACCACCGACGACAUAAGGUCUGUGAUAUGCAUUCUAAGGCAACUAAAGCGGUGGUGGGAAAUGUUUUGCAGCGGUUCUGUCAGCAGUGUAGCAGGUUAGUUCAAUUCUAUGGUUGUCCUUGUAUGGUGAGAAAUAUUUCAAAUUUUCUUCAGUUAAGUUCUACGUCGUUUAUUCGGUGCUUUCUUAUAGACAUUGUUUCUAGAAGAUGAAAUACAGAGUUUGAUUUGUAAGUUUUAAAAAAAUUAUUUGUUGCUCUCAUGAUUUGGGUCCAUAGUUGUUCAUCACUGUGUUUGGUAUAGUCGAAUUUUGAAGAACUUUUUUGUUGAAUUUGGAAUGUGGUUAUACUUAUGGGCAGGUUUCAUGGCCUUCAAGAGUUUGAUGAAGGAAAGAGAAGUUGUCGUAGACGUUUGGCAGGCCACAAUAGGAGGAGAAGAAAAACACAUCCUGAUACUGUAGUUAAUGGAGGCUCAUUGAAUGAUGAAAGAGGAAGCAGUUAUCUAUUGAUUAGUUUGCUGAGAAUACUCUCCAACAUGCACUGUAAAUCUUUGUGUUAUUGCACAUUCAAUUUUUGGCUGCUUUGCCUGACAUUAAAUUGAUAUGCUAAGUGUAUGUUAAGUGGUUACCGGAUUGUGUGUUGAUUGCCAUAGACUGAUGUCAAAGUUCUUGUGGUCUUUUGCUCUUAGGUUUUGUCAUUAUUUGAUUGAGGCUUGUAGCAAAAUGAUUAUGUCAAUUAACAUUUAAUAACUCCACUCAUAAAUUUUUAUUUGUAAACAUACAACAUAUUACUUGAUGAGUCCUUAACUGCUUAAGGUGCUCUAUUUUUGUGUAUAAAUGACAAAGUGCUAGUUUCUCUGAAUUUAAUUUGAUGAAAAUUUGAAUAUUGAUGCUUACGCAUGAAAAGUUUUCAGUUUUUCAGAGGUUGAUUUGAUAGAAAGUUAGAAUUUUGUGCAGACCUUCAUGUCGAAAAAUAUUUCAAUUUUUAUAAUCCAGAUUACACCUUGUGUGCUUGAAUUUCAUCCCUUGAACCCUUGUUUUUUGCACUUUCUUUCUCUGAUUGUUGGACUGUCCAUAUUUCACAUUCUAGGAUGCAUGAAGGAAGGGCCUAUUAAAGGGAAUUCUAAUUAGGAAUUGUUAUUUAGGAAAUUAUGUCUCAGUGAUCAUGUUAUUAUAAUAUUUAUUUGAUUAUGUUUGUGUUUGUUUUUCUUCUCAUAAGUGUCUUACUCAACUCCACUUUUGAUGCCUAAAAUGCAGCUAAUAGUUCAGAUCAAACAAAGGAUCAGGAUUUGCUAUCUCAUCUUUUGAAGAAUCUAGCCAAUCUUUCUGGUACAGUUGAUGGAAGAAACAUGUCUGCAUUGCUUACGGCAUCUCAAGGUUUAAUAAAUGGCGGGGCAUCAAUUCAGACUGCACAAAAGGUCCCAGAUACAGUUUCCAACGGCUGUGAACCAAGUAAGCCUUCUGUUUCAGCCUCUAAAAUGGAUGAUUAUAUUAAUGGUGAGGACCCUUCAAGACCUAUACGACAGUGUUCUACGGUACCUGCAUCAGAUUUCAGGAGAAUAUCUUCAGUUGAUGCAGAUCAUGGAGGUCUACAAGUUGUUUCAGGUCUAAAUGCCACGAAGCCAUUUCCUUCAAGAGACAGUGUUCCAUCCACAUCAGUUGCACCAGAAGCUACAAUGGGGAGGAUGCAGUUAAAUGGCAUUGAUUUAAAUAAUACAUAUGACGAUUCCCAGGACUAUUUGGACAACCUAGGGAAUUCGCAUGCCCCUGUAAAUUCAGGGACAGUGGCUCAUGGUUUUCCCUUUUGGAUGCGUCAGGAUUCGCAAAAGUCUAGCCCACCUCAGACAAGUGGGACUUCAUGCUCAACUUCAUCAAGUUCUAGUGGAGAUGCUCAGGUAUAUUCUUGUUGUACUUGCAUCUCGUUCCUCGUUAUUGCUUGGUAUAUUAAUGCUUGUAUAUGCCAUAACCUGUCCUUUUCUGUUGGAUAAAAGAAUAGCUUUGUUCUCACUUUAAUUUGGCAUUUAGGUGACAAUGCUUUGCAUUCGACUUGUCCGUUUGUCUAGCCAAUUGAUUGAAAAAACAUGAAGUACUCGGCAUACCUAAUAAAUACUUCUGUUGUGACGUAAGAGUCAAGAUGGAUUCUCUUCUUUUGUAUAGUGCUUUGUAUGUAUAAAUGUGUGCGUAUGCUUCUGCUUGAUAAGGUUUAUAGAGUUGUAGUUAAACUACAGGAGGUUGCAGGCUAUAUCAGUUAGAGUUGAGUAUUUUUUAAAUAUUUUUUAUUAUGAAGGCCAGUGUGUAAAAUGUUACUGCACUGUUACGUCUCUUAACCACUCUUUUUCUGCCGUGUUUCAGAGUCGCACAGACCGUAUUGUUUUUAAACUCUUUGGAAAAGAUCCAAAUGAUCUUCCAUUUGUUCUACGAGCACAGGUAAUAUUUGGUGCCUUGAUUUAAUUCUUCACAAUGUAACUUGUGUUUCCUUGCACAUACAACAAUUUUAUGAAAUAUUUUGAAUAUCCAGAUUCUCAACUGGUUGUCCCACAGUCCUACUGACAUUGAAAGCUACAUAAGGCCGGGAUGUAUCAUUUUGACAGUUUACCUCCGUCUAGAAAAAUCCACGUGGGAGGAGGUAUGUUUCUGUGCUGAUGCCAAAAUGUUGAUUGCUGACCUUGUAUCAGGGAGAUCUCUUUUCUUGUCCUUAAUUGUUAUGUUUGCCUGCAGCUCUGCUGUAAUCUGGGAUCCAUUAUAAAACAACUUUUACAUGCUGCCAAUGAUCCUUUUUGGACAACAGGAUGGGUGUAUACUAGGGUGCAACAUUCUGUAGCAUUUACGUACAAUGGUUUGUUCUCUCUCUCUCUCUCUCUCUCUCUCUCUCUCUCUCUCUCUCUCUCUCUCUCUCUCUCUUAAUUAUUCAUUCAUAUAUUUUCUAGCUCAUUUAGUGAUUUACCAAUAGUUGUGUUAUGAAAGAAAAGACAUUUUAAAUAGUUAUGUCUGUACUGCAGGUCAAGUUGUCUUAGACACACCCUUACCUCUGAAAAGCCAUAAAAAUUGCAAGAUAUCAUGCAUCAAACCAAUUGCAGUUUCUUUAUCCGAAAGAGCUGAAUUUGUAGUAAAGGGGUUUAAUCUUUCUCGUGCCACCACAAGGUAUCCUUAUCUUUCAUUCAAGCUUCAUUAUGUAGACCACUCCAGUGUCAUAUGUUAUUUCUGAAUUAGUAACUAUCAGGAUAACUGGGAAGGAGGAAAGUACUAAGUCCUAGCUUGUGACAGGUUGCUCUGUGCUCUGGAAGGGAAGUAUCUAGUCCAAGAAACUUGUUAUGACUUGAUGGAUGGUGCUGAUACAACCUUUGCGAAUGAUCAGCUACAGUGCCUCAGAUUCUCCUGCUCUAUACCCAAUGUUACUGGCCGAGGACUCAUUGAGGUGCUGUUCCAUUCUUAAUAUAUGUUUUAUAUUUCCUUUGAAGUGUGCUUAUCAUUACUUAUUUAUUUAUUUUUAUUUCAGGUUGAAGACCAUGGUCUCAGCGGCUGCUUCUUUCCAUUUAUAGUUGCCGAGCAGGAAGUAUGUUCAGAGAUUUGUACCCUGGAGGGUGCGAUUGAGGUGGCUGAGACUGCAGAUAACAUCCAGACAGAACCUGAAAAGUUGGAAGCCAAGAACCAAGCGUUGGACUUUGUACAUGAAUUGGGUUGGCUCCUUCACAGAUGUCACACUAAAUUUAGACUUGGUCACGGGGAUCCCAACUUAGAACUAUUUUCUUUUAGACGGUUCAGGUUGCUUAUGGAGUUUUCCAUGGACCGUGAUUGGUGUGCUGUAGUGAAGAAACUCCUGGGCAUUCUGCUUGAGGGUACCGUUGACACUGGAGAACAUCCUUCUAUUGAGCUUGCGUUAUUGGAUAUGAGCCUCCUCCACGGAGCCGUGCAAAGAAAGUGCAGGCCUAUGGUGGAACUCUUGUUAAGAUUUGUCCUAGACAAAGGGUGGCAACAAGUUGACGGGGACGGCAGCAACUUCUUAUUUAAACCCGAUGCAGUUGGGCCCAUGGGAUUGACUCCUCUUCAUGUUGCAGCCAGUACUGAUGGAUGUGAGAAUAUAUUGGAUGCCUUAACUGAUGAUCCUGGAAAGGUAAUUUCUCAUUGUCUUCUUUGACAGUUUUCUUUCUAAUUGGAUGUAAAAAUCAGAACAGGUCUGCAUCAUUAUCCAUUUUUCUCCGUACGUGUUUGACCGUUUGCUCAUACAAAUGACUCAUGUCAGCUCAUUCUGUGUCUCACAUGAAUGUUGAUAUUUCAAAUCGUUGUAUUUUCAAGCAUACAAAUGUUGAUAUCUUUGCUUCUUUAGGUGGGAAUUGAAGCGUGGAAAAAUGCUCGAGACAGUACAGGAUUGACACCAAAUGAUUAUGCAUGCCUGCGAGGCCGCUACACCUAUGUCCAAAUUGUCCAGCGGAAAAUCAACAAGAAACAUGAAAGCGGGCACGUGGUGCUUGAUAUCCCUGGCGUUAUCUUAGACAGCAGCAGCAAGCAGAAACAAUUAGAUGGGCAUAAGUCCUCAAAAGUCUCCAUCUUGGAGACCGAAAGGAUCGAUAUGAAAGCAAUGCAGGCACAUUGCAAGCAAUGUGAAAUGAAACUAGCAUAUGGAAACACAAGGUCGUUUGUGUACAGGCCGGCAAUGCUGUCAAUGGUAGCCAUUGCUGCUGUCUGUGUUUGCGUGGCCUUGCUCUUCAAAAGCUCGCCUGAAGUCCUUUAUGUCUUCCAGCCCUUCAGGUGGGAACUCUUGGAGUAUGGACCGAGCUAAGGCAGUUUACGCGUCUCAAAUUUUAGUUACUCUGGCUUUAGGCCGUUUGUGUUAAUCAUAUGUAUAAACGGAUAACUCAAAUUUUAGUUACUCUGGCUUUAGGCUGUUUCUGUUGAUCAUAUGUAUAAACCGAUAACUCUAUAGGGAACAUAAUGUACCAGUUUUCGUAUCCGUUAAGAUUUCCACGAGAGGUGUUGCACUGUAUGUAUUAAUGAUAGUUCAUAUAAAGCGUGUAUAGGGAAAGAUUGACGUAAAUAGUACUAUUGACCAAUUGUUGAGGCAAUAGAUUGCUGCAUUACUUCCAAAAACACAUACAAACAUUGUAUUCGAUGAGGCGGAAGAUUCGGACUUGAAAAUUCUUUCGCUUUUAAGUCAGCUUUCUUAAACAGAAGACAAUAUUUAGUAGGGCGGCCUGACUAAUAAUUUCUUUCGCUUUUAAGUCAGCUUUCUUAAACAGAAGACAAUAUUUAGUAGGGCAGCCUGACUAAUAAGUAGGUUAGACUACUCUUGCUAAAUUUUAUGCAUUGAGAGUUGUAUUUACGUAAGACUGGAUGGUGACCAAAUACAUAGAAUCACGUUCCUUCAUGAGGGGAUAAGGCUGUCUCACAAAGGUUGGAGCUUUGUGCUUACUUAGAUACAUGAAUCUCGUUCUUUCGUGAGUCAACUUUUCAGGUUAUUCAACUCAAAUGUUAUGAAUAAAAUUGGGCCAAAAUUAGAUCAAACAGUUGUUUUUCUCCAAAUAUUUUUAAUUUGGUCAAAUGCAUGAAUCUCGUUCUUUAGUGAGAUAACUUUUCAUGUUAUUCAACUCAAACGUUAUGAAUAAAAUUGGACCAAAAUUAGAUCAAACAGUUGUUUUUCUCUAAAUAUUUUUAAUUUGGUCAAAUCCAAUCCGAGUCUAAUAUUAACUAGCAAAAAAAAAAGCAGAAAAAUGGAUUUUACAGGCUAAUAAAAUAAUAGGAAAAGGACUCCAGUCACAGAGACACGUUGACUCAUAUUUUGACAUGAAAUUGUUUUCCACUUCAACAAGUCAUAUUCAUGGUCCUUACAUAGUGUACACAAUUAUUACCUUGUUUAAUCUUUUUCAAUUAUUUUGUCGUUUUGAACCUUUUUUCUUUGGUUUAAUUGCCAAUAAUUCAAGCAUUAAAUCUUGAUCUCGAAAUGGAACAAUUUUCCGGUGUACUAAGAUCACGUUCACGUAAAAUUACUGGUUCAUUUAAAUUAUAUUACGUAGAUUUGUUAAUAUUAAGUUUAGGUUAAAUCUCACAAUAAUUAGUAAUAAUAUGACGAGAAUUAAACUUGAAAUAUAUCACUUAUAAUAAAAUAAAAUAUCAUUAGUUUAAAUAUUAAAAUGAUACACCUCGUAACUUGUAACGCUGUUAAUUUCUAAUCGAAAUCAAAAGGAGACGCGUCAUUUGAGGCCACCACCUCUCUCCUCUCACUCUCCCCACUGAAACCGAAUUUACACAGUAAGAGAACCCUUUUCCUAACCUUUUCCUAAUUUUCAUGUGCUGAUUAGCUUUGUCUCGGGGCCUAUAUUCUCUCUGCCUCAACUGCGAUCUCAGCCACUUCUUCGUCAGCUCUCAGUUCUCAGCUCAUCUCCCAACAAUUCACCAACCUGCCGGCAAGUUUCUCUCUCUUUACUCUCUCGCUCUCCUCUUUAUUUCCACAAAAAAAGAUUGGGUCUUUCAGUUCUUUCAGCUCAAGUUUCUUUCCAUGGAGUUGAAAGCAUUGACUAGGAUGUAAUUGUGGGCUUGCAAAUACGGUAUUUUGUACUGACUUGUUGAGAGAAAAACUGGGUAAUUGGUGGAUUUUGGGUUCUGGGCAGCUGUAGCCUGUAGUUUAGCUCCAUUUUUAUGCUGGUGUGCUGUUCUUGGUUUUCUGGGGUUCUUGGAAAGAACAAUUUCCAGAAAUUUCUGGGGCUGUGGUGUUAUUGACUUUUUGUUUUGGGGUGAAAUUUAUAGUUUUAUCUCUGAGCUGUAGUUGUUGUUAUUGUUCAAUUGGGUGUUUGUAUCUGGUGGAGUUUGACUAGGGGGCAUUGUAACAUCUCUGGGUUUUUUGUAUCUUGAUCUAUGGAGUCUGAAUUCGGAGGAAAGGCUUGUAAUUUUCGUGGUGUGAUGGUGCCGAAUUUGAAGGGGGUUGGGAAAAAGAGUUUGGAAUGGGAUUUGAAUGAUUUUAAAUGGGAUGGUGAUCUUUUUACUGCUAGUCCAUUAAAUUCUACACCAUCUGAUGGUAGGAGUAGGCAGUUGUUUCCGGCCAGGCCAGAAACUCCGUCGGAUGCUGGUUUGUCCAACAGUUCUUCUUCUGGUUCGGAUAAUAUCAGUCCGGGGAAUGAGAAAGAUCAAAGAGAAUUGGAGAAACGGAGAAGGGAUUUUUUUGUGGAAAACCGAGAGUUGAAUGAUGAAGCUGCGUCUCUGAAUCUUAAACUUGGCGGGCAAACUUACCCCAUUAUGGAAGAAGAAGUACAAACCGGGAAGAAAACAAAGACAAUUGGGACUACUUCAAACCGUGCAGUUUGUCAGGUGGAGGACUGUAAGGCUGAUCUUAGCAAUGCCAAGGAUUAUCACCGGAGGCAUAAGGUCUGUGCUAUGCAUUCUAAGGCAACUAAAGCGCUGGUUGGAAGUGUUAUGCAGCGGUUCUGUCAACAGUGUAGCAGGUUGGUUCCAUCCUAUUGUUAUUUAUUGUUUGGUUGAAACAUUUCCCCGAUUUUCUUGAAUUAACUUGAAAUACAGAGUUUGGUUGUGUAAAUUUUGUUGUCAUGCGUUUGUUGUGCAUGGCUGUUCAUCAAUCUUCUUACGGUAUGGUUGAGUUCUGCAGAAGGUUUUUUUUGUUGAAUUAAAUGUAACAGGGUUAACACUCGUGGACAGGUUUCAUGCUCUUCAAGAGUUUGAUGAAGGGAAGAGAAGUUGCCGUAGGCGUUUGGCUGGCCAUAAUAGGAGGAGAAGAAAAACACAUCCUGAUACUGCAGUUAAUGGAGGCUCUUUAAACAAUGAAGGCGGAAGCGGUUAUCUAUUGAUUAGCUUGCUGAGAAUACUUUCAAAUAUGCACUGUAAGUACUUGCCUUAUUCAUUGUACACUUCUGUCUUAGUGAAACAUUGUAUCUCAGAUUUAUUUGAAUCCGCAUAUUAUGCCAUUUAUAAAUUGCAGCUAGUAGUUCUGAUCAAACAAAGGAUCAGGAUGUCAUAUCUCAUUUGUUGAGGAGCUUAGCCAAUGUUGCUGGUACGGCUGAUGGAAGAAACAUAUCUACAUUGCUGCAGGGAUCUCAAGGUUUAUUUAACAGUGGGACAUCUGUCCAGACUGCACGAAGGGUUCUAGAUAUGAAUGCUGGUGUUAAUACUGAGGACCCUUUAAGGUCUAAAGGACACUGUUCGAUACUACCUGCAUCAAGAGACAGUUCUGAAUCCAAAUCAGUUACACCGGAAGCUACAAGUAGAAGGUUCCAGUUAAAUGAUUGAUUUAAAUAGUACAUAUGAUGAUUCACAGGACUAUGUAGAGAACCUAGGGAAUUCUCAUGUUCCUGCAAGUCCAGGCACUGCAUCUCUUGGUUUUCCUUCAUGGAUGCAGCGUGAUUCUCAUAAAUCAAGCCCACCUCAGACAAGUGGGAAUUCAGACUUAACUUCUACUCAGUCACCGUCAAGUUCUAGUGGAGAAGCUCAGGUAUAUCCUUGUAAUUGCAUCUAUUCCAUAAUUGCUUGGUAAUAUAAUGCUUAAAAAUGCCUUUGUCGUGGAUGAUGCUCAGCCCACUGUAAUUCGUCUUUUUUUUAAUCUUUUUUUCCAUGAGACCAGGGAUUAAUAUAUCAAUUGUCAUUAAUCAUUAUACGGCGUAUAACUUGUCUUUUGUUUGGAUAGUAGAAUACCUUUGUUCUAUCCUUGAGAGUAGUUAGGCAGUCAUGUAUUGUGUUCUGAACGUGUCUGUGUAUCUUUCCAUGGAUUGUCAAAAUAAUGGCGAGGUUAAGUGCGCUCGCUGCUUGGUUAUGGGAUAUAUGUAAGAAAUGCUUCAAUUGUGACUUAAAGUUGAGAUCAGUUAUCUCUUCCUUCAAACCAAUAUGGCAGUUUACAAGCGCAACCACACACACAAACAUACUUGUUGUGUAUACGUCUUCUUGAUGCUGUUAAUAGAAUUGAGGUUAAAGUUACCUGGUGGUUUCUGCAGUCCUAAUGGAACAUGCAUUAUUUAUGUAAAAGGCCAGUAUGUAGAAUGUAUCUGCAAUUUUACGUUUCUUGACUGCUCUUUUUCUGCCACAUAUCAGAGUCACACAGACCGAAUUAUUUUUAAACUAUUUGGAAAAGACCCUAAUGAACUUCCACUUGCUCUGCGAUCACAGGUACUAUAUUUCCUUUGAUUUUUCUAGUUUUCAAAGUACUUUUCAAAGUAUUUUGGUGUUUCAUUCCACGGACUCCAUGAUUUUUAUAAAUUAUUUGAAUAUCCAGAUCCUCGACUGGUUAUCUCACAGCCCUACCAACAUUGAAAGCUACAUAAGGCCGGGCUGUAUCAUUUUGACAAUUUACCUUCGUCUAGAAAAAUCCACGUGGGAGGAGGUAUUCUCGACUGUGGAUGGCAGAUCCUUGUAUGAGGAAGACUUUUUCUUCAAGUCCUUAAUUUUGACAAUUCACCUCUCCCAGACCCUGAUUAAAGCGGGAGCCUUGUGCACUGGGUACGACCUUUUUUUUUAUAAUUAUUUUUGCUUACAGUUCUGUUGUCAUCUGGGAUCCAGUUUGAAAACACUUCUUGAUGCUGCGGAUGAUCCUUUUUGGAGAACAGGAUGGGUGUAUACAAGGGUGCAAGAUUAUGUAGCAUUUACAUACAAUGGUUUGCCUCUCUCUCUCUCUCUCUCUCUCUCUCUCUCUCUCUCCCCCUCUCAUUUCGUGUGUGCGUACACAUUUGUGUAUUUAGGGUCUAUAGAAGAAUCUUGCUGUUUUAGUUUUCCAUUAUGCUUUAUUGAUUUUGGUCAUGCUUUGUUUUGUUAUUUCUAGUACAUAAUGAGGAUUGACCAAAAACAUUAACCUUAUAUGAGAGAAGCAUUUUGAUUAGUUAUGUCCAUCCUGCAGGUGAAGUUGUGUUAGACACACCCUUGCCUCUUAAAAGCAAUAAAAGUUGCAGGAUAUCAUGCAUCAAACCAAUUGCGAUCUCCUUAUCUGAGAGAGCUGAAUUUAUAGUAAAAGGCUUUAACCUUUCUAGUUCCACCACAAGGUUCUUUCAUCUUUCAUUCAUGCGUCAUUACUUUGUUUUCAAUAUUCCUCUCUAGUUUUAUAGGAUAACAGAAGAAAUACUAAAUUCUAGAUCUUGAGUCUUGACAGGUUACUCUGUGCUCUAGAAGGGAAGUAUCUGGCUCAAGAAACUUGUUAUGACUUGUUGGAUGAUGCGGAUAGCACUGUUGAGGAUGACGAACAACAAUGCCUUAAAUUCUCCUGCUCUAUACCAAAUGUUACUGGGCGAGGAUUCAUUGAGGUGCUGUCAUAUUCCUAAUUGUCCCUUUCCCCCUUCCUCCUCUUGUAAUGUGCAUUUUGAACGAGCCGUAUUUUAUAAGUCCGGAAUUUGUUUAUAAAUCUUCUUAUGAAUACUGAGUAUAGAUUUGUUUCUAGACAGCGCCUUAACUGAAAUCCACGGUUCUCAUUUUAUUGGUCAAAUUUAUGUCAGGUUGAAGAUCAUGGUCUCAGCAGUAGCUUCUUUCCAUUUAUAGUUGCAGAGCAGGAAGUAUGCUCUGAGAUUUGUAUGCUGGAAGAUGUGAUUGAGGUGUCCGAGACUGAUGAUGAUAUCCAAUCUGGACCUGAAAAAGUGGAAGCUAAGAACCAAGCCUUGGACUUUAUACAUGAAUUGGGUUGGCUCCUACAUAGAAGUCGCGUUAAGUUUAGACUGGGUCAAUUGGAUCCCAAUCUAGAUACAUUUCCCUUUAGACGGUUCAGAUUGCUCAUGGAGUUCUCCAUUGACCAUGAUUGGUGUGCUGUGGUGAAGAAACUCUUGGGCAUUCUGUUUGAUGGUACUGUCGACGCUGCAGAGCAUCCUUCCCUUGAGUCUGCACUACUGGAUAUGGGCCUCCUCCACAGAGCUGUGCGAAUCAAUAGCAGACGUAUGGUGGAAUUCUUGUUAAGAUUUGUCCCAGGUUUAACAGGAUCUGAGCAGAAGGAACAAGUUGACAGGGACGGCAACAGUUUCUUGUUUAAACCUGAUGUUGUUGGGCCCAUGGGGUUGACUCCUCUUCAUAUUGCCGCCAGUACUGAUGGCUGUGAGCAAGUAUUGGAUGCCUUAACUGAUGAUCCUGGAAAGGUAAUAUCUCCGUUUUUUGAAUUGCAACAUAAUAUUUUUCUUCUAAUUCUAUGUAGAAAUCACUUUGCGCUGGCUACAACCUCCAUCCCAUCUCCAUACCCAUUUGAACUCUUGCGCCUACAGUUGACCUGUGUCUGUUCUCAUACUGUUUCACACACGUGUUUUGAUGAUUUUAACUCAUUCUAAUUUCCAGCAUGUCAGGUUGCUCACGGAUUUUAGAUCUGUAAUCAUGUCUUCUUUGACUUUGAGCUCUCUCUUUAGCUUUUCCACUGUCUUCUGCCUAAACAAAAUACACUGAUUCCAGUUAUUGAGUUGUAUUUCAAAUUCUCAAUUAACCAAUCCUAGACAAAUUAUGCAGUCUUGUAUUUUCUUUGGCUUGCGAAACAUAUGAAACAUAAAUCACCGUAGAAAAGUUAAAUGCGCCAUUCAAAUUGGUAAAGAAAGCAGCACCCCACAUCUAAAUGCAUGCUAACUCUUUCACAGCUGAAAGCGGCACCCAAAUUCUACAUUCAACUUGAAAUCAAAUAGGACUGCUGUUAAAAUUUUUGACGAUAAAUGAAUUAUGAUUCUUUUCAUCGUUCUAGUUUCAACUUUCAAGCAUGUGUUUAGGACUGCUGUCAUGAAAUUUCUUUAGUGUCAGAUAAUCCAUUCAUCAAGUUGAUAUGGGCGUUUUUUUCUUUAGGUGGGAAUUAAAGCAUGGAAAAACACUCGAGACAGCACAGGAUUGACACCAUAUGAUUAUGCAUGCCUUCGAAGCCGCUACUCCUAUGUCCAUAUAGUCCAGCGGAAAAUCAGCAAUACACUGGAAAGCGGGCAUGUGGUGCUUGACAUCCCUGGCCUCACGUUAGACAGAAAUGGAAAGCAGAAGCAAUCGGAUGCGCAUAAAUCAUCAAGAGUAGCCAGCUUGGAAACUGAAAGGAAUGAUAUAAAAGCAAUCUUACGACACUGCAGGUUAUGUGAACAGAAACCAGCUUAUAGCACCACACGGUCACUUGUAUACAGGCCGGCAAUGCUGUCAUUGGUGGCUGUCGCUGCUGUCUGCGUUUGCGUGGCCUUGCUCUUUAAAAGCAAUCCGGAAGUUGUUUUCGUGUUGGAGCCAUUCCGGUGGGAACACUUGAAGUUUGGUUCAAGCUAAGGUUAUAGUUUACGUGUAUUAAUUUAUAGUGACUCUGGUUAUACAUAGACCAUUUCUUUUCACGUGGAUAGGAGUAUAUUUUCUAUCUGAUUUUUAUAUGUAUAUCUAGGGCCACUCAAGCCAACAAGACUCUUCGCAUUGCAAUGGUCGGAACGUCUAUCGUAUCUGUAUUUGUAUACCUAAGCUUCCAAAAUAAACAUGGGCUGUCAUGGAUUUUGGUCCACCAGGUUUGAUUGUAUUUGUAUUUGUAUAACAGUGUUACAAACUGGAUGACACAUAAUUUCUCUGUUUGAUAUUUCUUUUUUUUUUUUCAAAAUAAACAUUUGGCACGAGGUGAUUCGGUGUUCGAUUAUUAGUGCAUUUACUGUAUAAAUUAAAUUUUAAUUUUAGAAAAUUCAGCAUUUUUGUUGGUUAUAUUGGAGGAAAUCGAACUUUGGUCUACUCUAAUUCUAACUUAUUACCAUACCCUCCUCCAUUAUUUGAGCUCAUAUAAGCAUAAGCACACUAAACAAGGUUAAGUAUAGAAGAAUUUGGGAAUUGAGAAUUAUUGUUUGAGCAUUAUUUCAUGUUUAGUGCAAAUUGAGGUUGAAUUAUUUUCUAAUUUUAUUAGUUUAAUCAUUUGGAUGAAUUUGUUCAUGCUUCCAUAUGAAAUCAUUAUUUUAUUAAAAUAAUUUAUUAAUAGUUCGAGAAAAACUUAAAUGGAGGUGCUCACGUCAUUCAUCACGCAUUCACAUUCACAUUCGUUACACGUUUCUCAUAAAAACAUAAAACUCUUUCAAAUGAAUAGGUUUCACUGAAUUUGGAUAAUAUCCGACUUUACAUAAGUACAAGUAUCAAUGCACAUGAUUCCAACCAGUAAUUAUUAUCUUAUUUGAAUUACUUACCCCGAAUCAGACCUGAAAAAGUGUAAUUUAUUCAAAUUUUAUUUUCUGAAAUUCAAAAAAAUAAAAUAAAAUUUGAGGAUAAGAAAAUAAAGGGUAAAGAGGUCAUUUGCAUGCCCUGCCUCCUAAAAUCCACCUCACUACUCACUACCCCGUCACUGCUCUAACAAUUUUGCAGGCCAAAGCCAUCCAUGGCUUCUUCAAUCUCUCUCUCCUUCUCUUCCUCUCUCCUCCCUCAUCCUCUUCCUUUCAACAAAUACUCCACCGCCACCGCCGCCGCCUCCCAGAAAUCCCAAUACCCCAACUUUAAGCUGCUCCUCCGCGCAUUCGCCAACCCAGCUGUAAGCCGUCGCUCCACUCCAUCUCCGUCUUCCGACACCAGAAAGAGGCACUGGAAGAAAGGUGAAUACCCAGGCGUCUCGGAGACGUCGGCUCCGGCGAAUUACAGAAAAACCCCUGGUCGUUCCACUUCAUCUGAGUCUUCCGACACCAGAAAGAAGCACUGGAAGCGAGGUGAGUUCCCGGGCGUCUCGGAGACGUCGACUCCGGCGAAUCACAGAAAAACCCCUGGUCGUUCCACUUCAUCUGAGUCUUCCGACACCAGAAAGAAGCACUGGAAGCGAGGUGAGUUCCCGGGCGUCUCGGAGACGUCGACUCCGGCGACUUACAGAAAAACCUCCGCUCGUUCCGCUUCAUAUCCGUCUUCCGACAACAGAAAGAAGCACUGGAAGCAAGGGGAGUUCCCGGGGGUCUCGGAGACGUCGAUUCCGGCUAUUUAUAGAAAACCCCCUUUGAAAAAUGUGAAGAAGAAGCUGGACCGGAAGAACAAUGCCAAGGCCUGGGUCAACACCGUCACGGAGGCCCUGUCAGACGCCAUUGACAAGAAGCAGUGGCUCCAAGCUCUUGAGGUUUUUGUCUUAAUCUAAACAAAAAUUAACAAAUUUUUCAUCUUUUUUCUUAUGUGUUUUUAGUUUGGUGAAUGUAAAUUGAUGCAAAAUUUAAAAAAAUGGUAUUUUUAUGCUUACCAAUUUAGUUUCUUGAACCAUGUUCUUGAAAAAUGUGAUCUUUUUAGCUGAAUGAUUUUAGUGGAAUUAUAAUUAAUUGGGUGUUUUUGUUUGGAAAAUGUAUGAUGAAAUUGGGUACUAUUACGUUCAGGUGUUUGACAUGCUUAGGGAACAACCAUUUUAUCAACCGAAAGAAGGGACUUACAUGAAACUCAUUGGUAUGCUUGGAAGGUGCGGCCAACCCAAUCGUGCCCGCCAGCUUUUCGAUACAAUGGUUGAAGAGGGCUGUGAACCAACUCUUGACCUUUACACAGCCUUGCUCGCGGCUUAUUGCCGGAACAAUCUGAUUGACGAGGCAUUUUCUGUUCUUAACCUGAUGAAGACUCUCCCGCAAUGCCAGCCUGACGUUUUUACUUACAGUACCUUGAUAAAGGUUUGCAUUGAUCAUUUGAAGUUUGAUUUAGUUGAGUCCUUGUAUGAGGAAAUGGCUGAGCGGUUGAUAGCUCCGAAUACAGUCACCCAAAACAUAGUGUUGAGUGGAUAUGGUAAGGCCGGGAAGUAUGACCAGAUGGAAAAAGUGUUGUCCGGGAUGCUGGAGGGUACAAGUUGCAAGCCUGAUGUCUGGACAAUGAAUGUUGUCCUUAGUGUGUUUGGAAACAAGGGUCAGAUAGAUAUGAUGGAGAGAUGGUAUGAGAAAUUCCGUGAUUUUGGGAUUGAGCCGGAAACUCGCACUUUGAACAUUCUGAUUGGUGCUUACGGGAAGAAAAGGCUGUAUGAUAAGAUGUCAACUGUGAUGGAGUACAUGCGCAAGCUUCAAUUCCCAUGGACAACCGCAACUUACAACAAUGUGAUAGAGGCUUUCGCGGACGUAGGAGAUGCAAAAAACAUGGAAUACACGUUUGAACAGAUGCGUGCUGAGGGCAUGAAAGCAGACACCAAAACAUUCUGCUGCCUUAUUAAUGGGUAUGCCAAUGCAGGCCUCUUCCAUAAGGUGGUUAGCUGCGUUCAGUUGGCUGGAAAGUUUGAGAUACCUGAGAAUACCACAUUUUACAAUGCGGUGAUAGCUGCAUGUGCAAAGGCAGAGGAUUUAAUGGAGAUGGAAAGAGUUUUCAACCGGAUGAAAGAGAAGCAAUGUCAACCGGAUUCCACAACAUACUCUGUCAUGGUUGAGGCAUAUAGUAAGGAAGGUAUGAACGACAAGAUCUACUACUUGAAGCAGGAGAUUGGUACUGAUGGUAAUCAAAGUGAUCAGAUUAGUGUUGAAGAAAAUCAAAGUGAUCAGAUUAGUGCCGAAGAGAAUCAGAGUGAUCAGAUUAGUGUGGAAGACAAUCAGAGUGAUCAGAUUAGUGAUGAAGGCAAUCAAAGUGAUCAGAGUAGUUUUGAAGAUAAUCAAAGUGAUCAGGCUUUUGGAGCUGAGUCUGGCGGUGUUGUCUAGUUGAGAUCUUUGGAGGCAACAGUAUGCUCCAAAAAUCCCUAAUCUCACAGGGCAAUUCCAUUCCCCGCAGUUCUUCUAAGGCAGCAGCAAACUCUUAUUGUGAAAUUGCCGAUCGAUCAGGUAAUCAAACAUUUCCAUUCUCGGAUGGGUGUUAGCAAUGCUGCUUCCUCCAAUUUUAUGUUUCUGGUGAAGGACUGUAUGGAUUGAUCUGAUAGACUGAUAACCCGGGUGAAACUUUAUGGAAAAUGAUUGUACAUACAGAGUUGAUAAGUGUCUCUCUCCAAACUUGAUGCGAUCUCUAAACUAGCAUGCAAAAUUGUACGACGAUUUGUAAGAGUGUUUAACUGUGUUCAACAGAGGAAUUGCUUUUUGUUAUUGCCUGAAAUGUUUUGAAUGUAACUUCACGUAUAUAUUGUCUGCAGCAGCUGCUGGACAAUCAUAGAAGGUGGUCUGUAAACACGUUGUUUUUGAAAAUUAAUCGCUCUUUUCGGUACAUUUUGUGCUGCUGUUGUUCGAAUGUUUUGGCACUUGAGGCAGACAAUUGAUCUGCAAUUAUCCCAAAAUGUAAGGGUCCAGCUCAACAAAACGCAGGGGUAAUUUGAUCAAAGAUGUAAGUUUUGUUAUAUUGACUUUUGAGUAGCAUUGGUAGUGUAAUAAACAAUAUCAGUAACGUUGAAUAAUAAUAAAUUUUACUUGGAUGCCGGCGUGUGUAGUAAGAAUAUGUCCAAAGUGGUUUGGACAACGACAUGAUGGUGCGUUAACUAAUAUGAUCUUAUCACGUGAUGAGAGAUAAAGGAGAGAUGAAUGUAUUCGUGACCUGGAGGUUAUUCUACACGUAAACUUGUAAAGAUAGGCAAACAGGGUGCUUUUUGGUUGAAACGAAAUGCUGAAUUGUUUACUCUUUCUUGUGUAAGAAGAGAAGACUUGUAUCGUAAUCAGGUACUAAUUGUUGUCUUUUGGUCCCACCUUACCUCACACUAUAAAUAAUGGCAUCUAAACCCGAUUAUUCACAGAGAAGCUUUCACAAAAGCAUAAAACUCUUAUAUUUUGGUUUCACUCGCCUCAAACUAGUCUCCCUCGUUGAAAUAGCUAACCUAGUUAGGAACUGUACACAAGUUUCUCUCGUAUCGAAGAAAGUCAAAGAAGUUUUUAGCUCACAAAAGCACAUAACCCCCUAUAUAUUCCAUUUGAAUCACCAUUUACAAAAUUUGUACUAACUUUCCAGUCGAAGAUAGGAUAGUUUCGACAAGUAUUGAACGGCUAAGAUAACUUUAUUUAUUACAUGAAUGGCUAAGAUUAAAAACAAGGGCACGUAGACGAAUACAAACAUCUUCAAUGAGAGGAUCCACCAUUUCUACCAUUGGAAAUUUAAUUUCCUUACAGAAUAGGCGAAAAGUGAAGCGAAAACAAUCGGGAAAGCAAUGAGAACAAUCGCCACGAGGAAUAAACGAUCGUGAUGGAAGCCAUAGUAGUCUUGAAGGAAGGAAGCAACUGUUUUCUGCUCCCCAAAAAUCAAAAUCUCUUUGUUCAUGUCUCCAUAUUGUGAACUGAGGAGGGCAUUUAGGGACCAUGAUGUAGGACAAAUCCAAUAGAACCAAAUCCACCACUUGGGAAUUUUCUGCAUAAAAUAUAUAGAACAUGGUCCGCUAGGCUCACAGUAAACCGUCAUAUUAAGGGUUUAUUUGGCACUGCUUCUUUAGAAAGAACUUUUGCUUAUAAAUUAUAAGCGCUUUUUCUGUAAGUUGUUUAAUAGAGUUAUGUUGCAAAAAAAGCAGUUGGGAGGGCUUCGCAUACUAAAAGCUCUUAAAGUUUUACUACAUAGUCUUUUGGCUUUUCUAGAAGCAGUCUCAAACAGGGCUAAAGACUAAAGAGAGAGUUAGAUUUAGUUACCGGCCCGAGCACAAGGAAGCCGGAAAAAAGAUUCAAUAUGGUGUAGAUUGCCGUUGCGAAAAUGGAAGCUACUUGCAGGCUUGUGCUAAAAGAAGCUAUCAGCAUCCCAAGGUAUACAAAUUAGAGAAAUGUAGAGAAUGUUGCAUGGAAGUACCAGAAAACCUUAGUAGCUGACCAAUAGUACCCUAUUGUAGGGUAUGUAAUAAUGACAUACAGAAUUGCUUGAACCACUUUGUAAGUUAUUUCAAUGGCCACCUACAACAACAUUCAAAAUUUCGACAUGUUAAAAACCUUUCCACUACAAGCUACGUUAUAGUACCAGUUAAAAUGUACGAACCUGUGCAAACGAAUGAGCGUUUGAUGAGUACAUCCCAGCAAAUCUUUCCCGGUACAGAACUGCGCGCUCAGUAGCCACGUAAGGCAGAACCGUCGAGCAAUUGGUUGUGCCCAAAAAUAUUACAGCAAUGUACAGUAACCCAAGCACGUUGAACAAAUCAUGCUCAUUGUUUCUUGAGGAACAAGAAAAACACAGGAUUUAGCGUUGUUGAGCAAAAAUUGUACAUAAUAUGUAAACAAAUAAUUCUCUCGACAUAAUUUCACCCUCGUUCAUUUUUCGAAGAGGGUUUUAUUAGUUUGAGUUUGAUUCAUUCUAGGUUACGCGCCUAUUAAUUACAACCUUUCUUUUGGGAAAGGAAUACCCUUUGAUUCUAAUAUGAAUAAAUCGUAAUUUGAGGAUUUGGGUGUUUAUUUGAUUUUGUGACUGUAUCUAGGUAGAGCCCUAGAUUGCCUACGUACCCUCGUUGAGGGAUCAAAUCACUCGUAGUUCCUUAUGUGUUUUGUUGGGGUUUGACGCCUUGUGCAGUUUCAGCUCAUGCAGAUGAGGAUUUUAAGCCGUUGGAGCUUUAAUAAAUUUGAUAUGGUUUUAUGCCAUUCUGAAAUUUGAUACGGCUUCGUGCCAGUUAACAUAGCUUCGUGCCACUUGAGAUUUUGUUGCGGCUUCAUGCCAUUUGAUAUUUGACUUUUUCUUCGGCUUUACGGCUUCGUGCCAUUGAAUUGGCUUUGAGCCAUUUGAGGCAGCUUUGUCCCAUUUAAAGUGGUUUUAUGCCGCUUAAACGUUGAGUAAAAUUAACAGGUUUAUUUCUGAUAAACCCACUAAUAUUUUGGCAUUUGACUCUGGCUUGGUACCAUUUCUUACUCCAUGUUUAAUUUUACUUUUCCUUUUUCGUUUGCCCUUUCUUCUGACAAAUUUGUAGAGAAUCAUGCUUGGAAUAAAAAAAAAAUUUCCUCUGUUCCUUCAUGGGAUUUACUCCACAAGGGUUUUGUUCAAAGCAGCAGAAGUGAAUUUAGUUUAUACAAACCAGGGAUUCAUCUUGAUUUCUUGGUUGCGUCUAAAAUUUGAUAUCAGACUGCCUACGUAUCCUUAACGGAAUCAAACCGGCGUAGUUCGUAACUUUUGAGACUCAUCGCGGCUUUGUGCCAUUUGAUACUUGAUAUGGAUUCGUGCCAUUUGAAGUUUGACGGAGCCUUGUGGCAUUUGUGUCUUGUAAAUAUUUGUGAUGAACCCACUUUUACAUUGGUAUUUGACUUUGUCUUCCUUUUCAUUUAUUUUGUCUUGGAACCCAUUUUAUUUUGCCUACAAGCCCGUCACUCUAUUGUUGCCCUUUAUUUUUUUGCAUGGUAGCACAAAAAAAAUCCUUGCUUUCAUAUGGAAAAUAUAAAAGCAAGAGUCAAAGCUCCUUUAUUUUUACCAAUGCCUUUUUCAAGCUUUUAAGUCCCUUGCUUUUCUUCUUUCUUUAUUUUUCUUUUGUCAUUGCCGUAUGUCUCCCUAAGAACAACUCCACUUUUGGAGCCCUUUCUCCAUGCAAUCCACUAUUCAAUCCACCAUGUAAACAGUAAUUACCCUUAAUAAACAGUAACUACUUUUGUAUCUCAACCCUUGCACUUGAAUACCCUUGGCAAUAGGCAAUAAAAUAUUAAUUUUUAUAAUUAAUAUUAUAUUAUUUAAUUUGUACAAAUUAAUAUUAUAUUAUUAAUUUAUCUUUUCCAAUCUCUUCCCGAAACUUCUACCAUUUUUGUUUUCUUCUUCCUUCCCACUCUCUCACUCCCCUCUCCCUCAUUGUCUUCUUUUUUUUCUCCGGCCGACAGUCUACCUCCCCUCUCUCUUUUUCUCCCCCAUUUCUCCCUGUUUUCUUCCUCAAACGAGGAAGCUGCGAAUUUUGAGAGAGAGCAGCACCGAACCCACCCGCCUCCCGCCAUGUCUAAAUCCACUGAUGUGUCUUUCUUCCUCCUCAUGGUCCUCUGCGGCCAGGCCCAAAGAGGCCGCCUGCUUCUUUCCGACUUCAACCAAUCAACGUCAUCCGAUCUGAUCUCCGAUAGAGUCCACCACCACCACCGGUCCCACACCCUGGCUCCCUACCUCACUCUCGAGAACGCCCUUUCGGCGGAAGACUCCACCUGCAAGCAGACCUACGUUUUCCUGCCUUGCACCACCACUGUGAUCGACAACCUUUCCUAAUUCCUGACAGAAAAAAAUUAAAAAAAAGGACUGACGCCAGCCUGACGUCAGCCCCUACUCGGGCUGGCAAUUCCUCAUAGACCCUUUGCUCGGGCCUUGGCUGCUGCUUGGGCUUGCUCACGCUGGAGCUGGUCGACAGGGCCUUGGGCUCUUUCUUCUCCCCCCGUCCCUCGAGCAGGAGCUUCCGCUAAAGCUGCUCUAAUGGUUCGAAGAUGAUGGAAUCCAAUUUGAAAUGGCACAAGUUAAAUUUCCAUAAAGAACUCCCAUAACUUUAUUGACCCCUACGUGAGCAACUUUCCAUGUGAGGUGCUGAUUUCAGUUAGCAUUCUUCUUUGAUCUUUUCAAACCCAUUUAAACAUGGGACUUCGAACCUAUCUGACCUAAACUUCUGACCAAUCUGAGAGCAAGCCUUACUCUUUUCUUUGUUUGACUUCAAAGGUCUCCAAAUUCCAAUAAGACUUUAUCCCAUACUUUAAAUGGGGGAACCAUGACUUUCUUUUGUCUUCCACGACUUUCUUUUGUCCUCCACGUGAGUGGUUUUCUUGCUAUGAAGUAAAAGAAGACCACAUCAACAUUUUUUUAACUUUACUUUUGAUUUGACAAAAGCUUUUUGGUCUGGAACUCUUCUUCUCUCCUUAUGAGUUUUAAACAUUUUUUUUUCUUUGUCUUCAACCUUGAAUUUAGCUUUGCCCAACAUUUGACAAUAACUUACUUCAUCUUUGAGGUGCCACGUAUUUAGCCUUUUUUAAAAAAAACAAGCACUUUCUUUUGAGUUUUCUGUUUCCUGCAUGGAUUUGUCUUCACAGGGGUAAAACUAGUCUUCGACUAAAAUCACGAAUCAUCUUUUGCUUGUUGGAGAUUUUUUCUUCAAUUCCUAAUUUAAACAGGAAUUUGAAUGAAACUUGGUCAGUGGCAACUAGCGCCUAUUCUUCUUUGGCUGGGCUUUCUUUGGGUUUCUGUCUCAAUGAAGAACGCCAAAAGUUUUUGAAGAAGACCAUGGCCCGUCGACCGACAGAAGCUUCGGGACCAUAGCUGGGCAUGUUGGGUUCUUGUUCUCCACUUGUUCAAAUGUGCAGAGUGACGGCUUAUUCUCCGUUGCAUCUCUGAAAAGAGGAAGGGAGAUGUCGAAAACUUCUUUAGACACCCAAGAGGCUACAGGAGGUUGUGGGAAGACGAUUUGCUGCUGUGUUUUGAUGAAAUCUCCGUUGGACAUCACAAGUUGCAGGGUGUCGAUGAUGUUGAAGACAUGGCGCAGCUGCUGUCUCUGUUUGGGCUUCCGUCUAACGUCGGCGGUUUAUUGCAAUGUUGCCUUCAUUAGCUAUUUCACACCGCUGCCAUCUUCUUGCUCAAACCUUCGUCAAAUUUGUUGAUGGUCUGGACUGGCGUGCCCAACUACGUCACCUGGUUUCAUCACCUUCGGAUCACGAACUGCACUGCCCUUGGGCUUCUUCCGGAGGACUGACAGAGACGACGGUUGAAAAAUGGUGGUGUUGCCGUAGUGCAGUGAUCACCUAGACCUGGUUGGAACUUCACGGGGUGGUUUAGACCACCCCGAAGAAAUUCAUGGGACUGGGGAUGGGAGAGAAACAAAUUGUUUUUUUUUCUUCUUGCAAAGCCGAGAGAAAGCAUACAAAGAAAGAUUUAGAAGGAUAGAUUUAUACCUUUAAAUGCUUUGUAGCAUUUCCUGCUCUUUGUUCUUGCGGGUAGCACUUGAUAUCUUCUUCUUUUUUCUUCUUUUGUUUCUCUUUUGCCUUUGCUCUCUUGCUUUGCCUCUCAUUCUCUGUUGUCUUCAUUGCGCUUUUCUGUCUCUCAAUUUUUGCAGAGUACCCUUGUCUUUUUUUUUUUUUUUUCUCUUGCUGUAGUUGAUGCCUAUUUAUAGGCAUCCCAAGUAAAGGAUGAUACAUUCCUGAUCUCUUGGGAUUGUUUCCUGUUUCAUCAUGAUUUCCAGAUUUCCCUGUUUUAUUAAAACAUUCCCCUUAUGUAUUCUUUGUAGAUUAAUUAUACUUGUAAAUCAAGUCAUUGUACACUAUUUAAAUCAAUGAUAAUGCACCCUCUAGGGCAUCGAGGGAUUGAGCCAAAAUACCUUCUUUUGAGUUAUCUUUUAUGGUACUCAGAGCCAGUGACUAACGUCUUUUUUUUCUUUUCGGAUUCUUCCUACUCUUCUCCAUGGCUGCCUCAACCAGUUCGACUACUCCUUCCUCCGACAUCUUCCCUUCUGUUUCUCAUGCGAUCUCCAUCAAACUUGACUCUUCCAAUUAUCCUCUUUGGUUGGCUCAGUUGCUACCUGUUCUUCGCAGUCGUCAAUUGUUGGCUUUUGUUGAUGGUACUUCCAUCUGCCCCUCGGCGUUCUUGUCCGACGAUACCGGCAACGCCUCUUCCAAACCCAACCUCGCGUAUGCUGACUGGGUUCAGAAGGACCAGCUUGUUCUUUCUUGGAUCAAUGGCUCUCUUGGUCACCAGGCCCUCGCCGCCACUGCUCGUCAUUCCACUGCCCGUGAUGUUUGGGUUGCUCUUCAGCAGCGUUUUGCUUCUACAAACCAAAGUCGCAUUCUUCAGCUUCGUACUGCUUUCUUCCAGACCAAACGAGGUGAUUCUUCAAUUUCUGACUUUCUUGAUAAGAUCAAUGGUAUUGCCGAUCAAUUGGCCCUUGCCGGGGCACCUGUUUCUGCUGAUGACAUGGUGCCGGUCGUCAUGUCUAAUGUCGGCCCCAAAUUUGAGAACACUGUUGCUGCUGCUCAGGCCCGUGACAACCCCAUCUCCCUUUCUGAUCUUGAGGCUCUUCUUCUCGUUGCUGAACUCCGCCUUGCUGAUCCUCCUGCUCCGCCGGACUCCAGCGUCUCGGCCCUGGUAGCCUCCCGCGGCUCUUCUGCCUUUCAUGGCCGCUCCUCUUCUGAUCGCGGCGGCGAUCGUGGCUCUGGCCGUUUCUCACGUGGGGGUGGUCGUCCUCAACAUGAUGGGUCUCGCAACAAUGGUGGUGACGGCUAUCGUGGCUAUCGCGGUGCUGGUGGUUUCCAUGAUCGUCCGUUUCGCGAUCGUGGUGGUGGUCGUCCUCAGCACGAUGGCUCUCGCUUCCGUGGCUCCAACAAUGCUUCUGGGGUUCUUGGUCCAGCCCCAUAUCACGGUUCCUCCCGUCCUCGCUGCCAUAUUUGCAAUACUUUUGGUCAUGGUGCUCUUGACUGUGCUCAACGUCUUAAUUUGGCUUAUGAAGGUCGUCCUCCUUCUUCCCGUCUCACUGCCUUGACUGCUCAGCACUCCCAGCCUUGGCUCAUUGAUUCCGGGGCAAACUCGCAUAUCACCAAUGAUCUCAAUACUUUGUCUCAGUCCCGUGAUUAUCGUGGUGGUGAUUCCGUCGGUGGUGUCGUUGGCGGUACAGGUUUGCCCAUUAACCGUAUUGGCUCCUCCACUCUCUCUCAUAAUAAUAUUUCUUUCAAGCUUAAUGAUGUUCUUCAUUGUCCGGAUGCUUCUACUUCUGUGUUGUCUGCUAAUCGGUUUAUGUUGGAUAAUAAUUGUUAUAUUACAUUGUUUCCUUCUUGUUUCUAUAUUCAGGAUAUGGAGACGGGGACGAUUCUUUUUUCGGGCAAGAGUAGCAAUGGCUUUUAUCCCUUUUCCUCUUCAUCACCGACUGCUCAUGGUCGUGCUGCUUUUCUUGGUGUUCGUGUUGGUAGUGAUGUCUGGCACUCUCGUUUAGGCCAUCCAUCUUCUUCCAUUUUAAAAUUUCUUUUUUCUAGGCAUUCGAAUAAGUUGCCUGUUUCUGGCAACCUCAAUCUCAAUACUUUUAUGUGUCAUUCUUGUCCUUUAGGCAAAAGUGUUAAGUUACCUUUUUCUGCAUCAUUGUUUGUUACUCAAGCUCCUCUUGAGCUUAUUCACUCCGACGUGUGGAGUGCGUCCAAUAAAUCUGUUAGUGGUUUCCAAUAUUAUGUUCUUUUUGUUGAUAAUUUCUCUCGUUAUUCUUGGAUUUAUCCCAUGAAAUUGAAAUCUGAAGUCUUUAAUAUUUUUACUCACUUUAAGACCUUGGUUGAAAAUCAAUUCUCCACUAAAAUUAAGAUGUUUCAGUCCGAUGGUGGGGGCGAAUACACUAGUCACCAAUUCAAGAAUUUUUUUCUUCACCAUGGUAUUCAUCAUCGUCUCUCAUGCCCUCACCAUCCCGAACAAAAUGGUUUGGCGGAACGCAAACAUCGUCACAUUGUCGACACUGGACUUACUUUAAUGGCCCAUGCGUCGAUGCCUCCUGCCUAUUGGGCUAAGGCCAUGCACACAGCAGUUUAUCUUCUCAAUCGCCUCCCCUCUAAAGUACUUGGUUUUAUGUCUCCUUAUCAAAAGUUGUUUCUUAAGGAACCUGAUUAUAGUUUUUUAAAGACCUUUGGGUGUGCAUGUUUUCCCCACCUACGACCCUAUAAUAAUAAUAAACUCCAGUUUCGUUCUACUAAAUGUGUUUUUCUUGGUUACUCUCUCAAUCAUCAAGGUUCUCGGUGCUUAGACAUCUCUACUAACCGCAUCUUUUUAUCACGCCAUAUUGUGUUUGAUGAAGGUAAUUUUCCUUUCAAGGCCAUCUCUGGCUCUCUUGCCCCAUCCUCCCCGGCCUCGUCUCCUCCUCCUGUUUUAGAAAUCACUGGGCCUCUUCCGCAUGCCCCCCGACCGUCUAGCAGCCAACCGGUGGUUGUGUCCCCCUCUUUGGAGACUCAUCAAUCCAGUCCAUCAUCCGACCCACCACAGCCGGCCCUACAGGUUUACUCCCGUGACCCUCACAGGCGGGUUCUUUCUUUUGCACAAGCAGCAACCCCAUCUGUCACUCCCAGGCCCACGCCUGCUGUUGCCUCUGCAGUUCAACCUGAUGCGCCUCCCGAGGCUCCAUCUGCUGCUGUACCACCUGCCGUGCCCUCUACUUCCCAUGGUAUGCUCACUAGGUCCAAAACGGCUUCUCUUAAGCCUCAUAAAUAUGUUUUUUCUGCUGCCAUUUCUUCUUCUACCGGUCCUAUUGAGCCUACUUGUUUUAGUCAGGCCAACACUUUUCCCGAAUGGCGUACUGCGAUGGCCGAUGAAUUUAAUGCACUUCAACGUGCUGGUACUUGGACUCUUGUUCCUCGUACCGCUUCUAUGAAUAUUUUGCCAAACAAAUGGGUGUUUCGUAUUAAACAGAAUUAUGAUGGGUCUAUUCAGCGGUAUAAGGCUCGUUUGGUAGCCAAUGGUUUUCAUCAGCAACCCGGCCUUGAUUAUGGUGAAACUUUUAGUCCUGUUGUCAAUCACUCUACUAUUCGCUUAAUUUUGGCUCUUUCAGUUCAGUUUCAAUGGCCUGUUCGUCAGUUGGAUGUUCAGAAUGCUUUUCUUCAUGGCUCUUUGUCUGAGGAGGUCUAUAUGCACCAACCUCGUGGCUUUGUUGAUCCACAGUUCCCUCAUCAUGUGUGCCGCCUUCGUCGUUCUUUAUAUGGGCUCAAGCAGGCGCCCCGUGCAUGGUUCCAAUGUUUUUCCACUCAUUUGGAAGAUUUGGGUUUUCGUCCCUCUACUGCGGAUCACUCGCUUUUUACCUAUAUUCAUGGCUCUACUCGCAUUUAUCUCUUAAUUUAUGUUGAUGAUAUUUUGGUCACCGGGAAUAAUCCCUCAUAUUGUCACCCUCAUUAAGAAUUUGGGCAUCCGUUUCUCUAUGAAGGACCUUGGACCGGUUCAUUAUUUCUUAGGCAUGGAGGUGGUCCGCACUCCAUCAGGUCUCUCUCUUUCCUAACAAAAGUAUGCCACUGACCUACUUCACCGCACCAAAAUGCAUGGUGCUAAGCCGGUUCCUACUCCUGCCGUUAGUGGGCGACGGCUCAGUCUUCAGGAUGGUGACCCUCUGCCGGAUCCUAUUGAAUACCGAAGUGUUGUCGGCGCCCUUCAAUACUUGACUCUCACUCGUCCCGACAUCAACUUCGCCGUCAACCAAGUCUGCCAAUUUCUUCACCAGCCGACUUCUACUCAUUGGGCCGCCGUCAAACGCAUUCUUCGUUACCUUGUCGGCACUACUUCUCACGGUCUUACCUACAAGCCUGGUUCCUUUCGUCUUACAGCAUUUUCCGAUGCCGAUUAUGCCGGGAUCCUGAUGAUCGGCGUUCCACCGGGGGCUAUUGCUUGUAUCUGGGUUCCAAUCUUGUCUCAUGGAGUGCCAAGAAACAAAAUGGGGUCUCUCGGUCCAGCACUGAAGCCGAGUAUCGUCAACUUGCAAUCACCGCUGCCACUCUUUCAUGGUUUCGUAUGCUGUUCCGUGACCUCCAGUUUCCUCUACAUUGUCCUACACUGUUUUGUGACAAUAUCAGUGCUAUAUCCCUUGCUUCCAACCCGGUGUUUCAUGCCCGCACUCGGCAUGUUGAGGUGGAUUACCAUUAUGUUCGUGAAAAGGUUGUUCGCAAGGAGAUUGAUGUUCGUUAUCUUUCUACUCAUGAUCAGAUUGCUGACUUCUUCACCAAGGGCCUUUCUCUUCCUCGUUUUCGACUUCUGGUUUCCAAGCUUCCUGUACUUGAUUGUACUGUCAGCUUGCGGGGGCGUAAAGGAUGAUACAUUCCUGAUCUCUUGGGAUUGUUUCCUGUUUCAUCAUGAUUUCCAGAUUUCCCUGUUUUAUUAAAACAUUCCCUUUAUGUAUUCUUUGUAGAUUAAUUAUACUUGUAAAUCAAGUCAUUGUACACUAUUUAAAUCAAUGAUAAUGCACCCUCUAGGGCAUCGAGGGAUUGAGCCAAAAUACCUUCUUUUGAGUUAUCUUUUCCCAAGAAGGCUCUAGAAUUUGUUACGUGGGGGAAGAUGGAGACCAUGACCUCCUGCCACUUUCUGUUAACCCCCUUUUCUGACUCCACGUUUCUUUUUGUUGCAGAAAAUGGGGGAGCACCUGUUUUUUGCACGUUACUUCCCCCCUUAUGUAGGAAAAAAAUUAUAAAUUUUUUAUUUAUUCCUGAAUGUAUUUGUAUGUAAAGCUCAUCCUCAUCUUUUGGGUUGGAUUACAUUUUUGUUUUACCUUGAAGUUUGACUCAAUUUGAAUGGACUUUAUUUUUUCAUAUUUUUUUUGUUCAACAAGCGUAGUUUUCUUUUUCUUUUUCUCUGUGAAAUAUAUAGUAUGAAGAGGGUGGAAAUGGGUCGGGGCUUACAUUUCCUUCACUUUCUGCCAAAAGAUUGUUCCGAACCACACUGAUAGAGCGAAAAUAAACGCGAAACGUGCUAGAUUGUACUUUGGACUUCUCCAGUGGGACAAGUGUUGUUUCCACAGACAUGCCUUAAACUGCACCCAGCUAUUUUGAGCAAAAGGAGUGGGAAGGUUCAAGCCCCUUGAACCCGGCUUUGGUUCGCUCAACCGGCUAACCAACUCGACCGUGUCUCUCUGAAAAAGAAGGAAACAAACAUAUAAAUUUGAUGAUUGAAAUAAAUACAUGAUUAAUCCUAAAAUAAUGGAAAUAUUAGAGAUAUGCCCUUACCUAUACUGAGUAGAGGGUUUAUAAAUUUCAGCAAAAUCUAAACAAAGUUUUGCCUCUACUGAGGCAGAAGUAACUUCUAACAUCCAAGUUGCUGGAUUGUAAUUUUCUUUGAUCUUUGGUACAUCACGAAUAUCCUCAAAAUAUUUGACGAGUUUACUCGAGUGAUGACCGAGAACUCCAGAAUAGAUGAUUUGGCCUCCCCUUUUCAUCAAAAGUAACUGCAAAAAUCAAUGUCUUCCGUUAGUGAUCGAGUGGCUUUUAUGAUUUGGUUUAGUUUUCUUGGACUCCAUGACAAUGCUCGUUAUACUACCUCGUCAAAUGACUGAAAAAUAUCAAUGCUUGGCUUGUGGAUUGUGCAAACAGUUGUCCUUCCUGUGGAAACAACAUUCUUUACUACGCAAAUGGCAAUUGCAGCUGCUCUGGCGUCUAAGCCUGACGUAGGUUCAUCCAUAAAUAUUAUUGAUGGGUUGGAUACAAGCUCCACUGCAAUUGUUAGCCUUUUGCGCUGUUCAGUAGAUAGGCCAGUUUGUCCAGGAAUGCCAACUAAGGAAUCUCUUAUAUCCUCCAGUUCAAUCGUUUGAAUGACUUCCUCCACAAAUUUCUGCAUAGAUUAAGCAAAGGAUACUUUCUUUUAUAUGUUCCAGGAAAUUUGCAUAUUAUUGAUAAAUUGAAAGAAUAUCAUCCUACAGCUUUUAUGUCUGGAUCAGUUUCGUGUGGCAACCUCAACCAAGCUGAGAACAUAAGCGAUUCUUCUACCGUGAUCUGUGGAGAAUGUAUAUCAGUCUGCUCGCAGUAUCCUGAUAUUCUUGCAAAUGUCUUCUGGACCUUGGGGUACCCUCCGAUUCUUAUAUCUCCCACGAUACUACCUCCUGUUUCCCUUCCAGAAAGAACAUCCAUGAGAGUUGUUUUUCCAGCCCCAUGCGGUAGGAAUUCCUGGACUGAAUGCUCCUGUUAUAUCUUUAAGCAACUGAAGCUUUUUCUCCUUGAAAGCAUGCUGUCUCAUUUCCUUUUUUAAGAAGGAAUGAAGUUAAAAUACAACUAAAUAGUUUUCCAAUGAUACUAAUAUGUGAAAAUUGACUAAUGAUUUGAUUAAUUACCGGAGGUGUAUCAACAUAAUACUGCACGUCCUUAAAUGAGAUUGUCAGUGGCUCGAACGGCAGGACCAUUCUCCCUGUUUAACAAAUUGAUUUACUCUCGAAUAAUUCAGUUGUUAAAAAAAUUCCUUGCUCGUUGCUUUGAAUGGAAAAUGUGAAACUGAUAACCCGGAUAAACUGGAUGCAACAAUUCAUCUCACCUAGUGUUAUCUUUUCUCCCAUGGUUUUGAAUAAAUCGGAUAGAGUUGAUUCAUUUUCCAACGGUGCACCAGUUUGGGUUAAUAUUUAACAUUGGGCUUAUAGGAGAGAAAGCCCAAAAGAGUUCAAUAAGAAGAGUUUCGUCCGAAGCCCAGCACCAAGCCCAGACCGUCCAUCUCAAGACCAAUUGGCACUCUCCUAUUAAUGCAAAGGCUAAGUGCUUACAAGAGAAGUGACAACUGAUGAAAAUCAACCUACUCUCAGCCCAAAAGUACUUUUCAGUGGCAAUACAAGUAAAAUAUUGAUGAGUCACUACCAUUCAAUUGCUUUUGGGUAAGAACAAAGCUACAAGCGGUCGGACUAAUUCGUUUAUAAAAGGAGGAAGAGGGCUCAGAGACAAGGACACUCAAUCAAUCAAACAUACAACUUGUCUCUCAUCCAAGCAAAUACCCAGAAAGCUGUGCUUUGUCCAGACUCUGCACCCUUUUAGCCUUAGAUUUCCUUAGAAAGACAUCUUUUUUCUAUGUAAAAGCUCUGCUACAUUUUUCUAAAUGUUGUAGUAUCGAUCCCUCGUGUAUAAACUCGUUUCCAGUCAUCUCCUUUAGUACUCAAUUCUUUUGUAAACUGCAAAGAGAAGAGAUCGCAAGGCGUUUAACCUUGCUUGACAAAGUGAAAUCUUGCCCAACUCUCUUUGUUUUUAUCUUUCAAUUAACAAAUAUGGUGUUAUAAUGUAUUCCGUAGUUUAUAUUCAAGUUAUUUCCAGUCCUUUGAUGACCCAAAGCCCCAUCAGUUCUCAGAUCUGGUUCACUUAGUGGUUUUAUCAAGAAUUGAAAUGAAUUAAACUGAUGACUUGAUCAGAUCUAAGCCUUCACCCCUCAAGCAUACAAAAUAACUAAAAGUCUUUGAUCUCAAGGCAUAGAAAAUAACUUAAUGUAGACUUAAUCCAUCUACAACAAUCCUUUGAUAAACAAGAAGUCAGAAAUAACUUGGGGUGCAAGUAAUCGGCUUAAAACACACUUGUUCUACAUCUGCCAUACAGAGAUGGCAGUGGCACGCCUAAGCACCUAGUUAGUUUUGAAUGCGAGCCUCAAGGCCUAUACCUAAGGCCCCACAAAGGCACCUUUCAGAACUAACUUUGUUUUCCUCUUGCAGUAUUGUGACAAGCAGGAGCCCAACAAUCAACCAAAGUGCCAACUCCUCGGGCAGCUGUGUGCUCGAGCCAGGAACGCCCACCAACCAGAUUUCCUGCCCAAAAAGCACCAGUUUUGCGAGCUCCCCUUCUUCAAAGUUGAGAUAAUCUUUUUUUCGAAACAAUAGCCCGAUACACCUUUGGAGCUGUAUGAGGAAAAGCUUAAGUAAACUGAUGUGGAGCUGUAUGAGGAAAAGCUUAAGUAAACUGAUGAAGUGGAUUGUAAUACUUAAGUUAUCAUCUGUCAAUUAAAAUGAAUCUAAGUAAGUUAAUGCUAAAAUAAAUCCAAGAUCAGACAGCAUUGUGAACCCGAGUAAUGCUCCUACUGAUAUCCAAUAGAAAUAGCCAUCAAAGUUCAAACCAUGCCUGGUUAGAACUUUAUUCCCUAGGGUUGUGUUUCCCUCUGAGACCUAAAGAAAUGAAUUAACACUGUCAAAACACUUAUUCGACUUCGAUGAUCGGGUACUAAAAAAGUUUAUCAUCUUGAGUUGUACCUUUUGCCAGCGAGGAGCGAGGAACUCGUUUAGAGUUGUACCGAUUUCCCCAUAAGUCAUAGGUGAACACCAGAAUAGUCAACGCAACCAAGGAGGUAAAGAGGCUGCAAAACACCCCUUAUUAGUCUAGUUGUAGUUGAAUGUAACUAAAGGAAAAAUACGAUAAAUGGACUUACAUCGUGGCAAGAUGAAGCCUCCGGAUAAAAACAUUAGCACUAGGAUUAAAAUACCGCAAGUUGAUGCAACAACCAUAGUUUGGAAAACUACAGCAAUUAAACGACAUAUGGAUGUCGAUGCUUGAUGGAGAGCAAAUAGCACAAGGAACUGGAAGAAGAACCUAAAAACCAUAGCAUAUUCUUGAGGCAUUAUUAUGAUUAUUGUUCAAGCCUUUCAUGUUCUGUCGUGUGACUAUAAAGUUGAGAUCUUACGUUUUUAUGUCUGGAGCGUACCCAAUCAAAUGGUAAGUUAUUGCUGUCCACAGCAGUGAAUCAAUCACUGAAAAUGGAACCUUCAGGAUAGACUGGAAGAGAAUACGCCCAUGCUGGAUACAGAUUGAAUCCUCUUUGCUUGUAAACCACUGGUAAUCUAGUAACAGUCACAGCUCUGCAAUUCCGUUGGUCAUAAGUCGAAUAAGUGUAUAAAACAAUGAGUUCAUAAAAAAACUUGCAUUUAUCAAAUCCACGGUCCUACGGGUGCUUAUACAGAUUGCCAUUGUAAUAAAUGCAGUGAUGACAAGCUGUGGGAAAAAAAGAGAGAAAAUAUAGUAAGUGAUUUUGAGUUUAACUUCAGAAGUACAACCCCUAAAAGUGAUAUCAUUAGGCAGUAAACCUGAGCUGUUUUGAAUACGUAGAGAAAGGAAUUCCGUUUCAUGAGAAGAAGCUCUCGGGCCAUACAACCUUUGAACAACUCCCAUUUGCUCACAGAGUAAGUACUAAAUGAUAAGGCAUUAUCAUGGCACUGUGAUUUAUUGUAUGGUUUUGAGAGCUCAUCGUCUAAUUUCUUCCCCGAGUAACUUGCUCUGAAAAGUUCAAAAAAUUUGUUUGCAGAAACAUGACCGUAGGGAAUGUUAUCAUGCUUCCAGUAUUGUGCUUGAUCCUUCUUUGAGAUCACCUCUUGAAGGAAAUCUGCAGCACCCUUUCUUGGUGGGCACUUGAAACCAGAGUCUUCGAAAAACUCAACUGCGUGGCUGCGAUGACCGUGGUAAACUAUCUUCCCCUCUGCCAUUAGUAUUACAUCAUAAAAAAUAUCAAUGGUCUCGGGUGCUGGUUGGAGAAGUGAUACCAAUGCAGUUGUAUCUGUGAUAUGCACCAGCUGCUGAAGAUAGGUAACUAUCUGAAAGGUUGUAGAACUGUCUAAUCCCGUUGAUAUCUCAUCCAUAAAAAGAGCUUUUGUAGGACCUACAAUCAUUUCUCCUGAAGAUUAAACAGAAGAGGAAUGUUAUGUUUGAAACAUUUUUCUACAUGGGAAUUAGUAAUUACAUUCAAAUUUCCCUCGGAUUCAAGAUUUCACUACCGGUUGUCAGCCUUUUCUUCUGGCCACCAGAAAUGCCUCUUCUUAAUGCAUCACCAACCAUUGUGUCACUCACUACACAUACCCAGUCCAAGUAUCUAAAGAGAUUCCAAAAUAUCGUAAUUCAUUUUUCCUGUCCGAGUGAGUUAGAAAUGUCACGUUUGAACUACUUAAUGUCAGCAUUGUCCAUGUCCAACACUGGUUGGAGAAAAAUUUACCUUCAAAACAUAAUCGGUUUGGAGAUUUUCCCUUUGUCCUUCAACUGAAAUGGCCUGUGAGUAUUAUGUAAAUCUCUAAAACCUCUAACACAAAAGGGUGGUAAGAUUUACUAAAAGGAAUGUUAUGAGACUUUACAAUUACCUUCAUGUAGGUGUCAAUAUCUGGAUCGGGGACUAUUCCUGCUUCUUUUUCCCUUCUGCUGAGCUCCAUUAUUAUAUAUGCAUAAAAUACGAUCGAAAUUAAACUUCAUACGUCAAUAGAAGUACACGACUAACCCAAUAGUAAAUGCAAUAGGGGAUAAGGAAUAUGCACCAGCUCUACUGCCAACACCCUGGCAGCGGGAGGAAAAGUCAAUUGUUUCCCUCAGUCAUCUCAGGCAGGUGAAGGUCAUGCUGGCUAAUGUAAGCUGAUGUUUUUUGGGGAACAAACUCAUCUAGCUUGUAACCAUUAUAAGUGUUGUAAACUGAAAUAGAAAGGAACGAAGUUACCUAAAAAAAUGUAGAAGCCUUGAGUGGUGAAUGAUUAUUGGGAUGAGUUGCGGACUAAGUCGCUUUCUUUAAGACGUUUCGCGGCUCUACCCAAAGUGUGCAAGCAGUUCACAAACACCACAUCGUCCUAGGAUAAAACAGCCCAAAACCUUCUUCUUCUUCUUCUGAUAAAGUUCUUCCUUGUACAGUAGAAGAACCUUCGAAUUCACAUUCUCUCAAUAUGUUGCUAACCAAAACUAUAUAUUAGAAAAUAUAUCUUCUUUUUUUUCCGCAUACUUUCAAUGAUCCAGGGACUACUAUAUAUACAUUUAGACGAAAGAGAUGUUGAGGGUUUGAGAAAAUUGAAAGCAGGACAAAAUCAAAACGUAAGUCAAAUAAAACGGUUUGAUUAUGUAUCAUGACAUGAUCUUCUUCUCUAUACAAAGAAGGAAUGGCACGUUUCAAACUUAAAAGGAGAUAACUCCUUACCUAAUUGAAAAGUCAAAAUCAAUUGGCAGUUAUGCAUAGAAUAUUGGUAAUAAAACAAAACGUUAUGUAUAUAAUAUUGGUAAUAAAAUAAAACAUAAAUAUAUUUAAAUAUUUAAAUAAAAACAUAUUUACUCAACAAUCCCCCACUUGUUUUUGUUUAAAACUAUACAUCAAGCAAUAUAUCGUAAAGCUAUACAGAAGUAAAUGUGUUUCUCAACUUAAAUCUAUACAUAGUGUUAGUGAUCGAGAUUAUACUAGAGUAACUUAUAGUUUUGAACUCUAUCCCUAACAACACCACACACACAACUUUAUUAAGGUGAAGUUCAAAAAGCCAGCACAUUACAACCAUGUGCUUGUAUCCCAGUAUAGUGAACGCUCUAGAAACUUGCUCAAGAUUUCAUAGGAAGCGGCAUCACUUCCACAUUCACAUAGUUAAGACUAUCAAGGUAUUCCUGUAGCUAGAUAUCUCACUUAACAUAGAGUAUAGACCUUACUAAGAGAAAAAAAAAUCUCAACCUAAAUACGCUUCAGGAUGUCAUGCUUCUUAGGGAUGGACAUGGAAUAAUAUUCCAAACUAAAAUUAGCAAGACUUCACUCUUAUCACUUGUGACUUGUUAUUACCCUUUGAACCUAUUUCUUGGGAUCUCUAGUCUAUAGGUUGGGUUGCUAUCACAAAUAACUCAAUUCUCUAGGGCUUUAGUCCCAUCCCUUUCGAGGUUUUCCAAACCUUUUCUCGUGCUAGUCCUUUUGUCAAAGGAUCAACCAAGUUUUCUUCAUACCGUAUAUGAUCCACUCUCACAGCUCCAUUAGACAGGUAAUCUCUUACAGUGAUGUGCUUACGACGUAUUUGUCGCCCUUUCCCAUUAUAAUAAUGAUUUUGCACUUUAGCUAUUGCCGAUGUGCUAUCACAAUGGAUCAAAACUGCUGGAAUCGGUUUCUCCCAUAAAGAGGUAUCUGACAGUAGGUUUCUCAACCAUCCUGCUUCUUCGCUUGUCGUAGCUAGCGCUAUUAAUUCUGACUCCAUAGUGGACUGAGCCAUGAUAGUAUGUUUCUUAGACUUCCAUGAUACAACCCCACCACCAAGACUAAAAAUACAUCCACUAGUGGCUUUAGAGUCAUCUGAAAGGGUAUUCCAAUCAGCGGCACUGCAACCUUCUAGGACAGCGGGAAACUUCUCAUAGUGUAAUCUAAAAUUCAUUGUCCUUUUAAGGUAUCUCAUAAGCCUAUCUAUGGCAUGCCAAUGCUCCAAACUAGGUCUACUAGUAAACCUGCAUCAAACUCCUACGACAUAAGAUAUAUCAGGCCUAGUGCAAUCAGUAGCAUAACGAAUGCUACCAAUAAUACUCGCAUACUCAGAUUGUUUAACACUGUCACCAAUGUUCUUGAACAAUUUUACACUAGGAUCAUGAGGAGUACAUGCUGGUUUACAAUCAAAAUAAUUAUACUUUCUUAAAAUUGUUUCUAUGUAGUGAGAUUGAUCUAAAGAAAACCCAUGUUCAAACCUAGUUAUUUUCAAACCAAGUAUUACGCUAACUUCACCCAAGUCUUUCAUAUCAAAAUUAGCAGAUAACAAAGAUUUGACAUUAUUCACAACAUGAAUAUUCGAACCAAAAAUAAGCAAAUCAUCCACAUAUAGGCAUAUAUUACUUUCAGACUUAUAAUAGAUGCAUUUGUCACUUUCAUUUAUUUUAAAACCAUUUGAAGUAACCAAACUAUCAAAUUUUGCAUGCCAUUGUGUGGGAGCCUGUUUCAAUCCAUAAAGUGACUUAUUUAACUUGCAAACUUUAUUUUCUUUUCUUGGAAUAAUAAAACCUGUGGUUGACCCAUAUAUAUUUCUUCCUCUAAUUUACCAUUUAAGAAAGCUGUUUAACAUCCAUUUGGUGCACAACAAGAUCAUGAAUAUAAGUUAAGGCAAACAAUACACGAAUAGAUGUUAUUCUAGUCACAGGUGAACAAAUAUAAAAGAAAUCAAUCUUUUCUCUUUGUCUAUAGCCUUUGGCAAUAAGUCGGGCUUUAAAAUUUUCAACUGAUCCAUCAGGUUUUAAAUUUUUUUUAAGAAUCUAUUUGCAACCUAUUGUUUUGCAACCAGGUGGAAGAUCCACCAAGUGCCAAGUUUGAUUUGACUCCAGGGAGUCCAUUUCAUCAUUUAUAACUUCUUGCCAAAAAAUUGCAUCUAAAGAAGUUAAAGCUUCUUGAAUUGUAUUAGGAUCUUCUUGUAAGUUAUAUACAUGGAAAUCAGGGCCAAAAUCUUUAGCUAUUCGAGCUCUUUUACUUUUCCUAGGUUCUAAUGCAGAUUGACUAUGUUUUACAACAUUAGGUUCAUAAAUUUUAGAAGAAUUAGAACCCCCACUAUUUUGAAGAUUAAAAGGAAAUUUAUUCUCAUAAAAAUCAGCAUCAAGUGACUCAAUUAUGACAUGGUUUUUCAAAUCAUAACAUCUAUAUGCUUUGCUAUUACAUGCAUAACCAAUAAAAACACAUUCAUAUGCUCUACUAGCCAAUUUCGAUCUUUUUGGACCAAGUUUACGAACAUAAGCUAAACAACCCCAAGUUUUGAAAUACAAUACAUUUGUUUUCUUAUUUUUCCAAAUUUCAUAAGGAGAGAUAUUCGAUUCUGAGGUAGGAAUUCUAUUUAAUACAUAACAUAUAGUCAACACAAUUUCACCCCACCAAUAAGAAGCAGCUCCAGAACUAAGUAGCAACACUCAAUUCGCAAAGAGUUCGAUUUUUUCUUUCCGCUUUACCAUUCAUUUCAGGAGAAUAAGGAGCAGUAGUUUCAUGAAUAAUUCCAUUAGACUUAAACAAAUUAACAAAUUCAAUGGAUUCAUAUUCUUGUCAUCUAUCACUACGAAAUCUUUUAAUCUUAUGAUUAAACUGAUUUUCAACUUCAGUAAAGAAAGUUUUGAACAUGUCAAUAGCUUUACUUUUAUUUUUCAUAAGAUAGACAAAACAGUAAUUCAAACAAUCAUCAAUAAAGGUAAUAAAAUAACGUUUUCCAUUUCUAGUUAACACUCUAUCAAAUUCGCAUAUAUCAGAAUGAAUUAAGUCAAGUGGUUCAGAUUCUCUAUUGACAGAUUUAUGUGAAGUUCUAGUGAUUUUAGCUUGACUACAAUAUUCACAUUUUUCAAAAUCAGUCAACGAUAAGUUAGGUAAAAAGCCUAAGUUACUCAUGUUCUUAACCAAGAGUUUGUUAACAUGACAAAGUCUAGCAUGCCAAGUAUUAAAAGAAGACAACAUGUAAUCAGAAGUAGACAUUUUAUCAACAUUCAAUUUAAACAUUCCAUUAGUAGCAUAUCCCUUUCCCACAAAAACCCCAUUUCUAGUAAGAGUAUACGUAUUUGCUCCAAACGUUUGAGUGAAUCCAGCCUUGUUGAGAAGUAAGCCUGAGACCAAAUUCUUCCUUAUUGUUGGAGCAUGCAUCACAUCUUUCAGUAUCAUGGGUUUUCCAGAGGUGAACUUUAACUCCACCUCUCCAGUACCAGCAACAUCAGUUGAGUGCGAAUCACCCAACAACACAUUUCUUCCCUCAGCCAUAGAAUAGGUCUUGAAAAGAGAACGAUCGUAGCAAGCAUGGGGAGAAGUGCCAGUGUCCACCCACCACCCACCACCCCUCGGACUAAGUUGAUUUCUGAUAUCAUUGCAAUUAGUUGCUCUUCAACAAGAUUUGUUUGAGAAGCAAAGUUUUCCUUAUAAUGCAUGGCAGAUUGAAUUCAUCUUAAAAUUGUUGUAAACUGAAAUAGAAAGGAACGAAAUUACUCAAAAAAAAUGUAGAAGCCUUGAGUGGUGAAUGAUUCUUGGGAUGAGUCAGGGACUAAGUCACUUUCUUUAAAACAUUUUGCGGCUUUGCCCAAAGUGUGCAAGCAGUUCACAAACACCACGUCGUCCCCAGGAUAUAACAUCCCAAAACCUUCUUCUUCUGAUGAAGUUCUUCCUUGCACAGUGGAAGAACCUUCGAACUCACACUCUCUCUCAAUAUGUUGCUAACCAAAACUAUAUAUCAGAAAAUAUAUCUAUUUUUGUUCCGCAUACUUUCACUACUAAAUAUACAUUUAGACGAAAAAGACGUUGAGAGUUUGAGAAAAUUGAAAGCAGGAAUAAAACGGUCUUAGGUCCGAUUCUCGCCGAAGGCGAAUUUGAACCACUAAACCGUAGCACUAAGUGGCUCCUAACAAUGUCUCUUAACAAGUUUAGAGGUAUUUGUCUUCACUAAUAAAUGAAAAGCGUUUGAAUUUCAUGAAUGACAAGUGCAAUACAAAAUUCAAAUUAUCAUGGUUCUUCCAUUAUAUGAUUUAACCAAAGCAUACCAUCUCUUAGUGUAAAUAUAUCAUUGAACUAUCAUUGAAGUAGUUCCAACAUUCGUAUACCAUCUUAAUUAUCAAUUUACUAUUACAAAAUUUCUAUUAAUUUUUCUUUACAAACUAAAGUGUUAUUAGGCUAAGUUGUUAAAUAUUAGGAGAUGAGUAGGGAUCGACCCACCGCCAAAGUACAUAUAUAGGUAUUACUGUUUUCUGCUACUAUGAUAAAGUGUAAUAUACUUCUAUAUAUUAAAAGAAAAUUCACUGAUACAUUUCCACAUGUAAACAUUCAACAUUGGACAUAUAUAAUAUUUUUCCCUACUUCUUUGGAAAUUUAAUUUUCCAAUGCAAUAGGCAAAUAGGGAAACAAAGACAAUCCCAACUGGGAAAGCAAUGAGAACAAGAGCCACAAGGCCUAAACAAUCAUGGUGGAAACCAUAAUAAUCUUGUAGGAUUAUUUUCUAUUUAAAAAACGUAUGUGAACAUACACAUUAUUUUCUAUUAUAAUAUGUGUAAGUUUAUGAAGGGAAAUAUUCACUAAAAUGAUCAAAAAUCAAAUUCUGAUGCCAAAACAAAAUCAAAUAUUGUCAUACUGAAAAACUAAUCAUUUCAACAAAUGAGAUUCAAAUAUUUGAUUAUUUUGGCCAAUUUUCCUGUAUUGAUACCCUAACCUAAAGUAUAAAUUACUUGCACAUCCAAAUUAUAACACAUGAAUUAACAACACUCCGUCAAUUAGACUUGUGUUACAUGUAUUUACACGGUUAUUGUCAUUCCAAGUGCUCAAAUGCUAAUGGAGUUACACAAAACCAUCAAAUAUUAGAAAAGAUUGGAUUCAAGAUAUACUAAGUAUAAUGUACAGAAUGUUGCAUAUAAAGUACCAGAAAACUUUAGUAGGUGACCAAGAGAACCCUAUUGCAGGAUAUGCAACGGCUACAUACAAAACUUGUAACAUUGUAUAAUGUAUUUUAAUGGCAACAUGCAACAUUUAACACUUUACACUAUAUUUGGAUGAGGAAGUUUAAGAUUGCUAAGGAAAUUUAAAGUAACGGAAAUUGAAAUGAUGGAAUUUUAUUUUAUAGAAUAUGUGAAUUUUCUUGUUUGGUUGAGGAAAAUAAACUUGGAAUUUAGAUAAAAGUCAGAAUUUGUAAAUUGACAUGCACCAGUUUCCUUGUUUGGAUUCAUAAACAUAUAUAGGAAUUUAGAAUUUUCGGGUGAAAAAAAAACUUGGAAUUUGGGACCUCCAAUUCCCAAGUUUAAAUUCCAUGUAAAUAUGUAUCAUUUCCCAAUUUCUAUGAUUGAGUGCUUAAAAAUAACAAAUUCCGUAAUCAAUUCCAUUUAUUUUUAGGUUAACCAAACAAGAGAAUUCACAAAUUCUAGAAAAUAAAAUCCUGUCAAUUCAAUUUCCGUCAUUUUAAAAUUCCUUAGUAAUCUUAAAUUUCUUCAUCCAAACAUAGUGUUAAGAACAAUGGAAUUUGAAAUGAAAUUUGUUAUUUUAAACCCUCAUUCAUGAAAAUUCAGAAAUGACACCAAUUUACAUAGAAUUUAAAAUGGGAAUUAGAUGUCCCAAAUUCCAAGUUUUUUUCUCAUGCAGAAAUUCUAAAUUUCUAUGUUUAUGAAUCCAAACAAGAGAAUUGGUACAUGUUAAUUUUUAAAUUCCAGCUUUUAUCAAAAUUCCAAGUUUAUUUCCCUCAUCCAAACAUAGUGUUAGUUUAAAACUGUGAAGAUUUUGAUUUAUCGAUUACAAACUAAAUAAGUACUUGAAUUCUUAGGCACUUCAACGUAUGAACUUGUGCAAAUGAACAAGGUCGGCCCUGAGAUUUUGAAGGCCCGAGCUAAGCUACCAAAUAGGAGCCCUUUAAUUCUUAGGCACUCCAAUUGGUUGUAGGUUCAUAUACAUUUUAUUUUUAUAGUAAAUACUCAUUAAUUUAUUAUUAUAUCGUACUCUUAUUUAAUUAAUAAUCAACAAUAUGCUAAAGUUUUAAGAAGGUGUUUGGACCCAAAAUUACAUCAUCGGCCCGUGCAAUCAAGGCCGUUGAGUAGGCAUAGCUCUCAAUCGUCGGAUAAAAAAGCAGAGAUAAUUUUGUUAUUAAAGGAUAAUAUUAUGGUUUUUAUCAUAAUUAUCUUUUAAUGAUUUAUCUCGACAUCUUCUUAUGAAAGAGGGAAAAUAUAUCUCCAAGCUGGAAACACGCAGCACAAUUCAAAGCGAUUUGGAUGUUUGGCGUGUGGAUGUGGUUUGGAUCGGUUUUAGUUGACAAAUAUGCAUGCAUGUGAUAAGGGUGAAGUAAAAAUGGUGAUAUGCUUUGAAAAUGAGUCUACAUGUGUUGGUGAUAAGAUGGCAGCAACUGCCUUGCUGACAAUUAACAUUGGGUAUUUUAUGCUAAAUCAUGCAUAUUGGUAUAUGCUUUUGUAUUGUGGGCCAGCAUAUGUUUUUUUUUUAUGGAGCCAAAUUCAUUUAACAAUGGAUAUUUGGAACAAUAAGAAGUUUAAGUAGGCAUAGGCCUUUGAGAGUUUGAGUUUCAGUUGGUUUCUACGAAAUCAUCAAGGCCACGCCAAGCGGGAUCAUGCAUAUUUGAAAGAGAAUAUUCCUAUUAUUUUGCAACUUACGACGGCAAUCUUACGGUUAUAGAGGCAAUGACAACAUAAAGGUGGUAUUUCGAAUUCAACACACAAACUGCCAUGCACAAACUCUUGCUCUACGCGAAACCUCUUAACAACCUUGAGAUUUUUAUUUUCCUUUUUCGCCAACACAUCUUCAGUUUGGAUAAAUAGCACUAUGAAGGCAACCGGUGAACAUCUUCACUUUGGAUAAACAAUACUAUAACCGUAGAACCAUUCGACCAUGAAGCACCUUUAGUUUGGAUAAACAACAUUGCUCCGAGACCGAUUGAUUACCUAUCCAAGUCUCGGUCAAGAAGAAUUUUCAAGUCCUUACUAGUAGAGAUCAUCUCAUCAGCCUUCUCGACGAAGUGAGGUGUUACCAGGUUACUACAUUCGGCACCCUGAGAGCCCAAUUUGAUAUUGAACUUCGUAGAACUAAUAGCCUUGUCUUCAGGUUCUAGAACCUGAAGGUCGAGACGUGUUCAUUUCUCGACCGCAGUCGUGAGAUUCAGAAGUCAAUAGUGCGCCCAAUGCAACAUCAACUCAUUUUACUUACCGGUCAAGCUCGACCGUCGAGUUGGCAUGCCCCACACACAACCGAAGGACAUAGUUAGCUUUUUAAUUACUCGGCUUGUGCGCCACGUAUACUUGAUAGUUUUUAAGAUCAACAGAAGGUAAAGAGCAAUAAAAACUGAUUAACGAAUUUAACAAAUUUAAUAGCGCCAAUUGAUCCUCUUGUAUUCUUCUUGAAAUCAAUUUCACAAUAACGAAUAUUAGAAUCAUGAGAUGAUUGAUAAUAAAUUAUUGAAACAGAGAAGAUAUAGCAAAUAAGAUAAGGUAGCUGGCAUUUGAUAGCGAUUUUGCUUGUAAAACUACACUUUUUGUCCAUCCAGAAGAAACCCAUUCUUCUGUUACAUGGCUUAACCGUGACCACACAAAACAGGAGAGCACGGGAAGGGCACCAGAAGUGGAGGGCAAACAAUCCUUGUCCGUGCUUUGUCCAUCGAGAAUAAGAAAUUGUAGGGACUAGGGGCCCAUUGCUCUUUUGAGAUGCAAGUUAAGGGACCUAACAAAGGGAAGUAAAAAGCAUUGGUAGGACAAAACAAGCCGUUUUAGGAAAACAACUUGGGGGAAGAUUCUCUCAUUUCCUAAUCUCUCUCCCAUUUUCUCUCCUUCUAUUUGAACGGUUACGGUUUAGCUACGUCAAUAUCUUAUAUAUAUAUUUUUAGAGACGAUAAGACAAAAAAUAAUAUGUGGGAGAAGGGAAAAGAAGGGGAUGAGAAUAGGAGGGGAGAUAAUUCUCUUCCAAACAACUUGCCUAUACAAUUCGGAUUCUAAGACGGUGGUAUCCCAAACGAAUCUCAUCCGACUAUGUGUUUAAACAUUGCACAUGACACCACGUGAUUGUUAAAACAUUGUCACCGUAGUGUAUUGUACAUAUACAUGAUUGUUUUGAAGUAACAUCAUCAUUGUGACAUAUUCAUGACGUAUGCUUAUCUCGCCGACUAGAGUUUCAGAUUCCUAACCAGGCGGGCAUAAACGUGCUUACAGCCUAAAAGGCCUUAACCUCAUAGAUCUGAAAACACAUUUCUGUCGGAGAAAUUGUCAAGAAUAAGAUACGAACUAGAGUUUACUCCGGGCAAGAUACCUGAGAUUUUUAGCCGUUAAAGUCAUUGAAUUCUUGACCAAUGAUCUAACAGCUAAGUUCACAUUGUAUAACCGAGGCACACUACAGAACGUAGAAAAAAAUAAUGGGGAUUAAAACGCUUCAUUGGGUAGAGGGAUAAGUGACAAAACAAUGAGAAAAAACACAUCAAUUGUAUUAGAAAUGCAACUUGCCAAUGUGCACAACAACAAAUGAACAUAGUUGCUACUCCACCGCAAAACCACCUCUGUGUCUGUCAAAUCUUAUUAAUCUCUGCGAGCAGAGGUAGCAAAACAACCUUGAAAAAAAACCCCCCACAACUUUCCAUAUGUUUUUUUUGACACCCCCGUUAACCCCUCAUAAUCAUAAACUACUAAUGACACAUUCUUCAAAGAACACGAAAAUAUAAAAAUACUAAUAAAAGAAAACCCAAAUGGCGCAAUGCCUGUAUAGAGAGAGAGAGAGAGAGCGAGAGCAGCAGAGGCUUAAUUCAAUUCAAUGUUUUGAUUCGAAGGGGUGAAGACUGAAGAGCCGCCAUUAAAGCUUUAAGCUUGGGGCUUGUCCCACUUGAGUGGCUUGACAACCUCCCAGGUGAAGUCGGGGUCAUCCCUCCCGAAGUGUCCGUAGGCGGCGGUCUUCAAAAACCUUCCAUUGCCACCCCUCUUGAGGUCCAGGUUGAUGGAGAUCAUGCCUGGCCUGAAAUCGAAUGUCUCCUUCACAAUCUUGAGGAUCUCCUUGUCAGGGAUCUUUCCGGUGCCAUAAGAAUCAACAAACACUGACAAAGGCUCGGGCACACCGAUGGCAUAGGAAACCUGCACAAUGCACCUCC